rnacentral:lncRNA from 1 species
GCGCGGAUGGGUUGUAGGACAUGAAAACAAUUUGGCACUAGACUUAUGGGACGAACACAAGGACACUCGAAACUAAGGGUAGAUGUGAACCUAACGGUACGUCUGAAGCUUUGAUUACCACUUGAGGAGAACAAGGCCCGAUCUUCUGAAAGGUUCUGGUAACUAGCGAUUUGGUGGAAACGAGACACAAAUCAAUUCAGUUUGCGAACAACACGAUUCGAAACCCUGCAAUUCUUUUUAUUUUUUUGAUAUUUUUCUUUUACUUAGGAGCACUCAAGAAGUAACCACAGGAAAUUUGAGCUUAAACAAGUGAAGGACGUGGCCUGUGGAAUUUUUUGAAGAUUUCGAAAAAUAUGAAAAUAAACUUUAGGAGGUGAAAACUCAAAUUUUCAGAGGCGAGUUUGGGAAUUCUAAAUUUGUCGCACCCGCUAAGGUGGGGAUAGACAGAUCCAAAAAUUUUUCUGAUCGAUUUUGAUAUAUGGAACGUCAAAAUCGGAGUUCGUAGGUGAAAGUUAUGGCUGUUUUACGAACGGACUCUGAAUUAGAGGAUAAAACGGUCCGGAAGUGGGAAAAUUUUGCGGUGGUGGCUAUAAAUUGAUGGAAACGGAGGGAAGAAACACACAAAUUGGACUCUAACAAGACCUAACCAGUAACAAGAUCUCGACCAGGACACAAACUCAACACUACGGACUCUGAACUGAAAUAUGCAAAGGCUAUGGCGCGGAUGGGUUGUAGGACAUGAAAACAAUAUAGCACUAGACUUAUGGGACGAACACAAGGACACUCGAAACUAAGGAUAGAUGUGAACCUAACGGUACGUCUGAAGCUUUGAUUAACACUUGAGGAGAACAAGUGUGGCCCGAUCUUCCGAAUGGUUCUAGUAACUAUCAAUUUGGUGGAAACGAGACCCAAAUCAAUCCACCUUGCGAACAACGCGGUUCAAAACCCUGCAAUUCUUUUUAUUUUUUUUUUGAUAUUUUUCUUUUACCUAGGAGCACUCAAGAAUUAACCAUUGGAAAUUUGAGCUUAAACAAGUGAAAGACGUGGCCUGUGAAAUUUUUUGAAGAUUGCAAAAAAUAUAAAAAAACUUUAGGAGGUGAAAACUCAAACUUCAGGUGCGAAUUUGGGGAUUCUAAAAUUAUCGAACCCUCCUCUAGCAGAGAUGGACAGAUCCAAAAAUUUGUUCCGAUCGAUUUUAAUAUAUGGAACGUCAAAAUCGGAGUUCGUAUGCGAAAGUUAUGUCUGUUUUACGAACGGACUCCGAAUUAGAGGACAAAACGGUCCAGAAGUGGGGAAAAUUUGUGGUGGUGGCUAGAAAUUGAUGGAAACGGUGGGAAAAAACACACAAACUGGACUCUAACAAGACCAAAUCAGUAACAAGACCUCGACCAGGACACAAACUCAACACUACGGACUCUGAAACUGAAAUAUGCAAAGGUUAUGGCGCGGAUGGGUUGUAGGACAUGAAAACAAUUUGGCACUAGACUUAUGGGAUGAAUACAAGGACACUCGACACUAAGGGUAGAUGUGAACCUAACGGUACGUCUGAAGCUUUGAUUACCACUUAAGGAGAACAAGGCCCGAUCUUCCGAAAGGUUCUGUGGUAACUAUCGAUUUGGUGGAAACGAGACAGAAAUCAAUCCAGUUUGCGAACAACAUGAUUCGAAACCCUGCAAUUCUUUUUUUUGAUAUUUUUCUUUUACUUAGGAGCACUGAAGAAGUAACCACAAGAAAUUUGAACUAAAACAAGUGAAGGACGUGGCCUGUGGAAUUUUUUGAAGAUUGCGAAAAAUAUGAAAAUAAAGUUUAGGAGGUGAAAACUCAAAUUUUCAGAGGCGAGUUUGGGAAUUCUAAAUUUGUCGCACCCGCCUAUGGCGGGGAUAGACAGAUCCACAAAUUUUUCUGAUCGAUUUUGAUAUAUGGAACGUCAAAAUCGGAGUUCGUAGGCGAAAGUUAUGGCUGUUUUACGAACGGACUCUGAAUUAGAGGACAAAACGGUCCGGAAGUGGGAAAAUUUUGCGGUGGUGGCUAUAAAUUGAUAGAAACGGUGGGAAGAAACACACAAAUGGGACUCUAACAAGACCUAACCAGUAACAAGAUCUCGACCAGGACACAAACUCAACACUACGGACUCUGAACUGAAAUAUGGAAAGGCUAUGGCGUGGAUGGGUUGUAGGACAUGAAAACAAUAUAGCACUAGACUUUUGGGACAAACACAAGGACACUCGAAACUAAGGAUAGAUGUGAACCUAACGGUACAUCUGAAGCUUUGAUUAACACUUGAGGAGAACAAGUGUGGCCCGAUCUUCCGAAAGGUUCUACUAACUAUCAAUUUGGUGGAAACGAGACCCAAAUGAAUCCACCUUGCGAACAACGCGGUUCGAAACCCUGCAAUUCUUUUUUAUUUUUUUUGAUAUUUUUCUUUUACUUAGGAGUACUCAAGAAGUAACCACACGAAAUUUGAGCUUAAAAAAGUGAAAGACGUGGCCUGUGGAAUUUUUUGAAGAUUGCAAAAAAUAUAAAAAACUUUAGGAGGUGAAAACUCAAAAUUCAGGGGCGAAUUUGGGGAUUCUAAAAUUAUCAAACCCACCUCUAGCGGAGAUAGACAGAUCCAAAAAUUUGUUCUGAUCGAUUUUGAUAUAUGGAACGUCAAAAUCGGAGUUCGUAUGCGAAAGUUAUGGCUGUUUUACGAACGGACUCCGAAUUAGAGGACAAAACGGUCCGGAAGUGGGAAAAAUUUGUGGUGGUGGCUAGAAAUUGAUGGAAACGGUGGGAAAAAACAUACAAACUGGACUCUAACAAGACCAAAUCAGUAACAAGACCUUGACUAGGACACAAACUCAACACUACGGACUCUGAAACUGAAAUAUGCAAAGGUUAUGGCGCAGAUGGAUUGUAGGACAUGAAAACAAUUUGACACUAGACUUAUGGGACGAACACAAGGACACUCGAAACUAAGGGUACAUGUGAACCUAACGGUACGUCUGAAGCUUUGAUUACCACUUGAGGAGAACAAGGCCCGAUCUUCCGAAAGGUUCUGGUAACUAUCGAUUUGGUGGAAACGAGGCACAAAUCAAUCCAGUUUGCGAACAACACGAUUCGAAACCCUGCAAUUCUUUUUUUUAUAUAUUUUUCUUUUACUUAGGAGCACUGAAGAAGUAACCACAAGAAAUUUGAGCUUAAACAAGUGAAGGACAUGGCCUGUGGAAUUUUUUGAAGAUUGUGAAAAAUAUGAAAAUAAAGAUUAGGAGGUGAAAACUCAAAUUUUCAGAGGCGAGUUAGGGAAUUCUAAAUUUGUCGCACCCGCCUAUGGCGGGGAUAGACAAAUCCAAAAUUUUUUCUGAUCGAUUUUGAUAUAUGGAACGUCAAAAUCGGAGUUCGUAGGCGAAAGUUAUGGCUGUUUUACGAACCGACUCUGAAUUAGAGGACAAAACGGUCCGGAAGUGGGAAAAAUUUGCGGUGGUGGCUAUAAAUUGAUGGAAACGGUGGGAAGAAACACACAAAUUGGACUCUAACAAGACCUAACCAGUAACAAGAUCUCGACCAGGACACAAACUCAACACUACGGACUCUAAAACUGAAAUAUGCAAAGGCUAUGGCGCAGAUGGGUUGUAGGACAUGAAAACAAUAUAGCACUAGACUUAUGGGACGAACACAAGGACACUCGAAACUAAGGAUAGAUGUGAACCUAACGGUACGUCUGAAGCUUUGAUUAACACUUGAGGAGAACAAGUGUGGCCCGAUCUUUCGAAAGGUUCUAGUAACUAUCAAUUUGGUGGAAACGAGAUCCAAAUCAAUCCAUCUUGCGAAGAACGCGGUUCGAAACCCUGCAAUUCUUUUUUUUUGAUAUUUUUCUUUUACUUGGGAGCACUGAAGAAGUAACCACAGGAAAUUUGAGCUUAAACAAGUGAAAGACUUGGCCUGUGGAAUUUUUUGAAUAUUGCGAAAAAUAUAAAAAAACUUUAGGAGGUGAAAACUCAAACUUCAGGGGUGAAUUUGGGGAUUCUAAAAUUAACGAACCCACCUCUAGCGGAGAUAGACAGAUCCAAAAAUUUCUUCUCAUCGAUUUUGAUAUAUGGAACGUCAAAAUCGGAGUUCGUAUGCGAAAGUUAUGGCUGUUUUAGGAACGGACUCCGAAUUAGAGGACAAAACGGUCCGGAAGUGGGAAAAAUUUGUGGUGGUGGCUAGAAAUUGAUGGAAACGGUGGGAAAAAACACGCAAACUGGACUCUAACAAGACCAAAUCAGUAACAAGACCUUGACCAGGACACAAACUCAACAUUACGGACUCUGAAACUGAAAUAUGCAAAGGUUAUGGCGCGGAUGGGUUGUAGGACAUGAAAACAAUUUGGCACUAGACUUAUGGGACGAACACAAGGACACUCGAAACUAAGGGUAGAUGUGAACCUAACGGUACGUCUGAAGCUUUGAUUACCACUUGAGGAGAACAAGGCCCGAUCUUCCGAAAGGUUCUGGUAACUAUCGAUUUGGUGGAAACGAGACACAAAUCAAUCCAGUUUGCUAACAACACGAUUCGAAACCCUGCAAUUCUUUUUUUUUAUAUAUUUUUCUUUUACUUAGGAGCACUGAAGAAGUAACCACAAGAAAUUUGAGCUUAAACAAGUGAAGGACAUGGCUUGUGGAAUUUUUUGAAGAUUGCGAAAAAUAUGAAAAUAAUGUUUAGGAGGUGAAUACUCAAAUUUUCAGAGGCGAGUUUGGGAAUUCGAAAUAUGUCGCACCCGCCUAUGGCGGGGAUAGACAGAUCCACAAAAUUUUCUGAUCGAUUUUGAUAUAUGGAACGUCAAAAUCGGAGUUCGUAGGCGAAAGUUAUGGCUGUUUUACGAACGGACUCUGAAUUAGAGGACAAAACGGUCCGGAAGUGGGAAAAUUUUGCGGUGGUGGCUACAAAUUGAUAGAAACGGUGGGAAGAAACACACAAAUUGGACUCUAACAAGACCUAGCCAGUAACAAGAUCUCGACCAGGACACAAACUCAACACUACGGACUCUGAACUGAAAUAUGGAAAGGCUAUGGCGCGGAUGGGUUGUAGGACAUGAAAACAAUAUAGCACUAGACUUUUGGGACAAACACAAGGACACUCGAAACUAAGGAUAGAUGUGAACCUAACGGUACAUCUGAAGCUUUGAUUAACACUUGAGGAGAACAAGUGUGGCCCGAUCUUCCGAAAGGUUCUACUAACUAUCAAUUUGGUGGAAACGAGACCCAAAUCAAUCCACCUUGCGAACAACGCGGUUCGAAACCCUGCAAUUCUUUUUUAUUUUUUUUUGAUAUUUUUCUUUUACUUAGGAGCACUCAAGAAGUAACCACACGAAAUUUGAGCUUAAAAAAGUGAAAGACGUGGCCUGUGGAAUUUUUUGAAGAUUGCAAAAAAUAUAAAAAAAACUUUAGGAGGUGAAAACUCAAAAUUCAGGGGCGAAUUUGGGGAUUCUAAAAUUAUCGAACCCACCUCUAGCGGAGAUAGACAGAUCCAAAAAUUUGUUCUGAUCGAUUUUGAUAUAUUGAACGUCAAAAUCGGAGUUCGUAUGCGAAAGUUAUGGCUGUUUUACGAACGGACUCUGAAUUAGAGGACAAAACGGUCCGGAAGUGGGAAAAAUUUACGGUGGUGGCUAGAAAUUGAUGGAAACAGUGGGAAAAAACACACAAACUGGAAUGUAACAAGACCUAACCAGUAACAAGACCUCGACCAGGACACAAACUCAACACUACGGACUCUGAAACUGAAAUAUGCAAAGGUUGUGGCGCGGAUGGGUUGUAGGAAAUGAAAACAAUUUGGCACUAGACUUAUGGGACGAAGACAAGGACACUCGAAACUAAGGGUAGAUGUGAACCUAACGAUACGUAUGAAGCUUUGAUUACAACUUCAGGAGAACAAGGCCCGAUCUUCCGAAAGGUUCUGGUAACUAUCAAUUUGGUGGAAACGAGACCCAAAUCAGUCCACCUUGCGAACAACGCGGUUCGAAACCCUGCAAUUCUUUUUAUUUUUUUUGAUAUUUUUUAUUUACUUAGGAGCACUCAAGAAGUAACCACCGGAAAUUUGAGCUUAAACAAGUUAAAGACGUGGCCUGUGGAAUUUUUUGAAGAUUGCGAAAAAUAUAAAAAAAACUUUAGGACGUGAAAACUCAAACUUCAGGGGCGAAUUUGGGGAUUCUAAAAUUAUCGCACCUGCCUCUAGCAGAGAUAGACAGAUCCAAAAAUUUGUUCUGAUCGAUUUUGAUAUAUGGAACGCCAAAAUCGGAGUUCGUAUGCGAAAGUUAUGGCUGUUUUGCGAACGGACUCUGAAUUAGAGGACAAAACGGUCCGGAAUUGGGAAAAAUUUGUGGUGGUGGCUAGAAAUUGAUGGAAACGGUGGGAAAAAACACACAAACUGGACUCUAACAAGACCAAAUCAGUAACAAGACCUUGACCAGGACACAAACUCAACACUACGGACUCUGAAACUGAAAUAUGCAAAGGUUAUGGCGCGGAUGGGUUGUAGGACAUGAAAACAAUUUGGCACUAGACUUAUGGGACGAACACAAGGACACUCGAAACUAAAGGUAGAUGUGAACCUAACGGUACGUCUGAAGCUUUGAUUACCACUUGAGGAGAACAAGGCUUGAUCUUCCGAAAGGUUGUGGUAACUAUCGAUUUGGUGGAAACGAGACACAAAUCAAUCCAGUUUGCUAACAACACGAUUCGAAACCCUGCAAUUCUUUUUUUUAUAUAUUUUUCUUUUACUUAGGAGCACUGAAGAAGUAACCACAAGAAAUUUGAGCUUAAACAAGUGAAGGACAUGGCCUGUGGAAUUUUUUGAAGAUUGCGAAAAAUAUGAAAAUAAUGUUUAGGAGGUGAAUACUCAAAUUUUCAGAGGCGAGUUUGGGAAUUCUAAAUUUGUCACACCCGCCUAUGGCGGGGAUAGACAAAUCCAAAAAUUUUUUUGAUCGAUUUUGAUAUAUGGAACGUCAAAAUCAGAGUUCGUAGGCGAGAGUUAUGGCUGUUUUACGAACAGACUCUGAAUUAGAGGACAAAACGGUCCGGAAGUGGGAAAAAUUUGCGGUGGUGGCUAUAAAUUGAUGGAAACAGUGGGAAGAAACACACAAAUUGGACUCUAACAAGACCUAACUAGUAACAAGAUCUCGACCAGGACACAAACUCAACACUACGGACUCUGAAACUGAAAUAUGCAAAGGCUAUGGCGCGGAUGGGUUGUAGGACAUGAAAACAAUAUAGCACUAGACUUAUGGGACGAACACAAGGACACUCGAAACUAAGGAUAGAUGUGAACCUAACGGUACGUCUGAAGCUUUGAUUAACACUUGAGGAGAACAAGUGUGGCCCGAUCUUCCGAAAGGUUCUAGUAACUAUCAAUUUGGUGGAAACGAGAUCCAAAUCAACCCAUCUUGCGAACAACGCGGUUCGAAACCCUGCAAUUCUUUUUUUUUGAUAUUUUUCUUUUACUAAGGAGCAGUCAAGAAGUAACCACAGGAAAUUUGAGCUUAAACAAGUGAAAGACUUGGCCUGUGGAAUUUUUUGAAUAUUGCAAAAAAUAUAAAAAAACUUUAGGAAGUGAAAACUCAAACUUCAGGGGCGAAUUUGGGGAUUCUAAAAUUAUCGAACCCACCUCUAGCGAAGAUAGACAGAUCCAAAAAUUUCUUCUCAUCGAUUUUGAUAUAUGGAACGUCAAUAUCUGAGUUCGUAUGCGAAAGUUAUGGCUGUUUUACGAACGAACUCCGAAUUUGAGGACAAAACGGUCCGGAAGUGGGAAAAAUUUGUGGUGGUGGCUAGAAAUUGAUGGAAACGGUGGGAAAAAACACACAAACUGGACUCUAACAAGACCAAAUCAGUAACAAGACCUCGACCAGGACACAAACUCAACACUACGGACUCUGAAACUGAAAUAUGCAAAGGUUGUGGCGCGGAUGGGUUGUAGGAAAUGAAAACAAUUUGGCACUAGACUUAUGGGACGAAGACAAGGACACUCGAAACUAAGGGUAGAUGUGAACCUAACGGUACGUAUGAAGCUUUGAUUACAACUUCAGGAGAACAAGGCCCGAUCUUCCGAAAGGUUCUGGUAACUAUCGAUUUGGUGGAAACGAGACCCAAAUCAGUCCACCUUGCGAACAACGCGGUUCGAAACCCUGCAAUUCUUUUUAUUUUUUUUGAUAUUUUUUAUUUACUUAGGAGCACUCAAGAAGUAACCACCGGAAAUUUGAGCUUAAAUAAGUUAAAGACGUGGCCUGUGGAAUUUUUUGAAGAUUGCGAAAAAUAUAAAAAAAACUUUAGGAGGUGAAAACUCAAACUUCAGGGGCGAGUUUGGGGAUUCUAAAAUUAUCGCACCCGCCUCUAGCCAAGAUAGACAGAUCCAAAAAUUUGUUCUCAUCGAUUUUGAUAUAUGGAACGUCAAAAUCGGAGUUCGUAUGCGAAAGUUAUGGCUGUUUUGCGAACGGACUCCGAAUUAGAGGACAAAACGGUCUGGAAUUGGGAAAAAUUUGUGGUGGUGGCUAGAAAUUGAUGGAAACGGUGGGAAAAAACACACAAACUAGACUCUAACAAGACCAAAUCAGUAACAAGACCUUGACCAGGACACAAACUCAACACUACGGACUCUGAAACUGAAAUAUGCAAAGGUUAUGGCGCGGAUGGGUUGCAGGACAUGAAAACAAUUUGGCACUAGACUUAUGGGACGAACACAAGGACACUCGAAACUAAAGGUAGAUGUGAACCUAACGGUACGUCUGAAGCUUUGAUUACCACUUGAGGAGAACAAGGCCUGAUCUUCUGAAAGGUUGUGGUAACUAUCGAUUUGGUGGAAACGAGACACAAAUCAAUCCAGUUUGCGAACAACACGAUUGGAAACCCAGCAAUUCUUUUUUUUUUAUGUUUUUAUUUUACUUAGGAGCACUCAAGAAGUAACCACAAGAAAUUUGAGCUUAAACAAGUGAAGGACGUGGCCUGUGGAAUUUUUUGAAGUUUGCGAAAAAUAUGAAAAUAAUGUUUAGGAGGUGAAAACUCAAAUUUUCAGAGGCGAGUUUGGGAAUUCUAAAUUUGUCGCACCCGCCUAUGGCGGGGAUAGAUAGAUCUAAAAAAUUUUCUGAUCGAUUUUGAUAUAUGGAACGUCAAAAUCGGAGUUCGUAGGCGAAAGUUAUGGCUGUUUUACGAACGGACUCUGAAUUAGAGGACAAAUCGGUCCGGAAGUGGGAAAGUUUUGCGGUGGUGGUUAUAAAUUGAUGGAAACGGUGGGAAGAAACACACAAAUUGGACUCUAACAAGACCUAACCAGUAACAAGAUCUCGACCAGGACACAAACUCAACACUACGGACUGAACUGAAAUAUGCAAAGGCUAUGGCGCGGAUGGGUUGUAGGACAUGAAAACAAUAUAGCACUAGACUUAUGGGACGAACACAAGGACACUCGAAACUAAAGAUAGAUGUGAACCUAACGGUACGUCUGAAGCUUUGAUUAACACUUGAGGAGAACAAGUGUGGCCCGAUCUUCCGAAAGGUUCUAGUAACUAUCAAUUUGGUGGAAACGAGACCCAAAUCAAUCCACCUUGCGAACAACGCGGUUCAAAACCCUGCAAUUCUUUUUAUUUUUUUUGAUAUUUUUCUUUUAUUUAGGAGCACUCAAGAAGUAACCACAGGAAAUUUGAGCUUAAACAAGUGAAAGACAUGGCCUGUGGAAUUUUUGGAAGAUUGCGAAAAAUAUAAAAAAAACUUUAGGAGGUGAAAACUCAAACUUCAGGGGCAAAUUUGGGGAUUCUAAAAUAAUCGAACCCACCUCUAGCAGAGAUAGACAGAUCCAAAAAUUUGUUCUGAUCGACUUUGAUAUAUGGAACGUCAAAAUCGGAGUUCGUAUGAGAAAGUUAUGGUUGUUUUACGAACGGACUCCGAAUUAGAGGACAAAACGGUCCGGGAGUGGGAAAAAUUUGUGGUGGUGGUUAGAAAUUGAUGGAAACGGUGGGAAAAAACAUACAAACUGGACUCUAACAAGACCAAAUCAGUAACAGGACCUCGACCAGGACACAAACUCAACACUACGGACUCUGAAACUGAAAUAUGCAAAGGUUAUGGCGCGCAUGGGUUAUAGGACAUGAAAACAAUUUGGCACUAGACUUAUGGGACGAACACAAGGACACUCGAAACUAAGGGUAGAUGUGAACCUAACGGUACGUCUGAAGCUUUGAUUACCACUUGAGGAGAACAAGGCCCGAUCUUCCGAAAGGUUCUGGUAACUGUCGAUUUGGUUGAAACGAGACACAAAUCAAUCCAGUUUGCGAACAACACGAUUCGAAACCCUACAAUUCUUUUUAUUGAUAUUUUUCUUUUACUUAGGAGCACUGAAGAAGUAACCACAAGAAAUUUGAGCUUAAACAAGUGAAGGACGUGGCCUGUGGAAUUUUUUGAAGAUUGCGAAAAAUAUGAAAAUAAAGUUUAGGAGGUGAAAACUCAAAUUUUCAGAGGCGAGUAUGGGAAUUCUAAAUUUGUCGCACCGGCCUAUGGCGGGGAUAGACAGAUCCAAAAAAUUUUCUGAUCGAUUUUGAUAUAUGGAACGUCAAAAUCGGAGUUCGUAGGCGAAAGUUAUGGCUGCUUUACGAACGGACUCUGAAUUAUAGGACAAAACGGUCCGGAAGUGGGAAAAAUUUGCGGUGGUGGCUAGAAAUUAAUGGAAACGGUGGGAAAAACACACAAACUGGACUCUAACAAGACCAAAUUAGUAACAAGACCUCGACCAGGACACAAACUCAACACGGACUAUGAAACUGAAAUAUGCAAAGGUUAUGGCGCGGAUGGGUUGUAGGACAUGAAAACAAUUUGGCACUAGACUUAUGGGACGAACACAAGGACACUCGAAACUAAGGGUAGAUGUGAACCUAACGGUACGUCUGAAGCUUUGAUUACCACUUGAGGAGAACAAGGCCCGAUCUUCCGAAAGGUUCUGGUAACUAUCAAUUUGGUGGAAACGAGACACAAAUUAAUCCAGUUUGCGAACAACACGAUUCCAAACCCUGCAAUUCUUUUUAUUUUUUUUGAUAUUUUUUUUUACUUCGGAGCACUCAAGAAGUAACCACAGAAAAUUUGAGCUUAAACAAGUGAAGGACGUGGCCUGUGGAAUUUUUUGAAGAUUGCGAAAAAUAUGAAAAUAAAGUUUAGGAGGUGAAAACUCAAAUUUUCAGAGGCGAGUUUGGGAAGUCUAAAUUUGUCGCACCCGCCUAUGGUGGGGAUAGACAGAUCCAAAAAUUUUUCUGAUCGAUUUUGAUAUAUGGAACGUCAAAAUCAGAGUUCGUAGGCGAAAGUUAUGGCUGUUUUACGAACGGACUCUGAAUUAGAGGACAAAACGGUCCGGAAGUGGGAAAAUUUUGCGGUGGUGGCUAUAAAUUGAUGGAAACGGUGGGAAGAAACACACAAAUUGGACUCUAACAAGAUCUAACCAGUAACAAGAUCUCGACUAGGACACAAAAUCAACACUACAGACUCUGAAACUGAAAUAUGCAAAGGCUAUGGCGCGGAUGGGUUGUAGGACAUGAAAACAAUAUAGCACUAGACUUAUGGGACGAACACAAGGACACUCGAAACUAAGGAUAGAUGUGAACCUAACGGUACGUCUGAAGCUUUGAUUAACACUUGAGGAGAACAAGUGUGGCCCGAUCUUGCGAAAGGUUCUAGUAACUAUCAAUUUGGUGGAAACGAGACCCAAAUCAAUCCAUCUUGCGAACAACGCGGUUCGAAACUCUGCAAUUCUUUUUAUUUUUUUUUGAUAUUUUUAUUUUACUUAGGAGCACUCAAGAAGUAACCAUAGGAAAUUUGAGCUUAAACAAGUGAAAGACUUGGCCUGUGGAAUUUUUUGAAGAUUGCGAAAAAUAUAAAAAAACAUUAGGAGGUGAAAACUCAAACUUCAGGAGCGAAUUUGGGGAUUCUAAAAUUAUCGAACCCACCUCUAGCGGAGAUAGACAGAUCCAAAAAUUUGUUGUGAUCGAUUCUGAUAUAUGGAACGUCAAUAUCGGAGUUCGUAUGCGAAAGUUAUGGCUGUUUUACGAACGGACUCCGAAUUAGAGGACAAAACGGUCCGGAAGUGGGAAAAAUUUGUGGUGGUGGCUAGAAAUUGAUGGAAACGGUGGGAAAAAACACACAAACUGGACUCUAACAAGACCAAAUCAGUAACAAGACCUCGACCAGGACACAAACUCAACACUACGGACUCUGAAACUGAAAUAUGCAAAGGUUAUGGCGCGGAUGGGUUGUAGGACAUAAAAAUAAUUUGGCACUAGACUUAUGGGAGGAACACAAGGACACUCAAAACUAAGGGUAGAUGUGAACCUAACGGUACGUCUCAAGCUUUGAUUACCACUUGAGGAGAACAAGGCCCGAUCUUCCGAAAGGUUCUGGUUACUAUCGAUUUGGUGGAAACGAGACACAAAUCAAUCCAGUUUGCGAACAACACGAUUCGAAACCCUACAAUUCUUUUUUUUGAUAUUUUUCUUUUAAUUAGGAGCACUCAAGAAGUAACCACAAGAAAUUUGAGCUUAAACAAGUGAAGGACGUGGCCUUUGGAAUUUUUUGAAGAUUGCGAAAAAUAUGAAAAUAAAGUUUAGGAGGUGAAAACUCAAAUUUUCAGAGGCGAGUUUGGGAAUUCUAAAUUUGUCGCACCCGCCUAUGGCGGGGAUAGACAAAUCCAAAAAUUUUUCUGAUCGACUUUGAUAUAUGGAACGUCAAAAUCGGAGUUCGUAGGCGAAAGUUAUGGCUGUUUUACGAACGGACUCUGAAUUAGAGGACAAAACGGUGCGGAAGUGGGAAAAAAUUGCGGUGGUGGCUAGAAAUUGAUGGAAACGGUGGGAAAAACACACAAACUGGACUCUAACAAGACCAAAUUAGUAACAAGACCUCGACCAAGACACAAACUCAACACUACGGACUAUGAAACUCAAAUAUGCAAAGGUUAUGGCGCGGAUGGGUUGUAGGACAUGAAAACAAUUUGGCACUAGACUUAUGGGACGAACGCAAGGACACUCGAAACUAAGGGUAGAUGUGAACCUAACGGUACGUCUGAAGCUUUGAUUACCACUUGAGGAGAACAAGGCCCGAUCUUCCGAAAGGUUCUGGUAACUAUCGAUUUCAUGGAAACGAGACACAAAUUAAUCCAGUUUGCGAACAACACGAUUCGAAACCCUGCAAUUCUUUUUAUUUUUUUGAUAUUUUUCUUUUACUUAGGAGCACUCAAGAAGUAACCACAGGAAAUUUGAGCUUAAACAAGUGAAGGACGUGGCCUGUGGAAUUUUUUGAAGAUUGCGAAAAAUAUGAAAAUAAAGUUUAGGAGGUGAAAACUCAAAUUUUCAGAGGCGAGUUUGGGAAUUCUAAAUUUGUCGCACCCGCCUAUGGUGGGGCUAGACAGAUCCAAAAAUUUUUCUGAUCGAUUUUGAUAUAUGAAACGUCAAAAUCAGAGUUCGUAGGCGAAAGUUAUGGCUGUUUUACGAACGGACUCUGAAUUAGAGGACAAAACGGUCCGGAAGUGGGAAAAUUUUGUGGUGGUGGCUAUAAAUUGAUGGAAACGGUGGGAAGAAACACACAAAUUGGACUCUAACAAGACCUAACCAGUAACAAGAUCUCGACCAGGACACAAACUCAACACUACAGACUCUGAAACUGAAAUAUGCAAAGGCUAUGGCGCGGAUGGGUUGUAGGACAUGAAAACAAUAUAGCACUAGACUUAUGGGACGAACACAAGGACACUCGAAACUAAGUAUAGAUGUGAACCUAACGGUACGUCUGAAGCUUUGAUUAACACUUGAGGAGAACAAGUGUGGCCCGAUCUUCCGAAAGGUUCUAGUAACUAUCAAUUUGGUGGAAACGAGACCCAAAUCAAUCCAUCUUGCGAACAACGCGGUUCGAAACCCUGCAAUUCUUUUUAUUUUUUUUGAUAUUUUUCUUUUACUUAGGAGCACUCAAGAAGUAACCAUAGGAAACUUCAGCUUAAACAAGUGAAAGACUUGGCCUGUGGAAUUUUUUGAAGAUUGCGAAAAAUAUAAAAAAACUUUAGGAGGUGAAAACUCAAACUUUAGGAGCGAAUUUGGGGAUUCUAAAAUUAUUGAACCCACCUCUAGCGGAGAUAGACAGAUCUAAAAAUUUGUUGUGAUCGAUUUUGAUAUAUGGAACGUCAAUAUCGGAGUUCAUAUGCGAAAGUUAUGGCUGUUUUACGAACGGACUCCAAAUUAGAGGACAAACGGAAGUGGGAAAAAUUUGUGGUGGUGGCUAGAAAUUGAUGGAAACGGUGGGAAAAAACACACAAACUGGACUCUAACAAGACCAAAUCAGUAACAAGACCUCGACCAGGACAGAAACUCAACACUACGGACUCUGAAACUGAAAUAUGCAAAGGUUAUGGCGCGGAUGGGUUGUAGGACAUGAAAACAAUUUGGCACUAGACUUAUGGGAGGAACACAAGGACACUCGAAACUAAGGGUAGAUGUGAACCUAACAGUACGUCUGAAGCUUUGAUUACCACUUGAGGAGAACAAGGCCCGAUCUUCCGAAAGCUUCCGGUAACUAUCGAUUUGGUGGAAACGGGACACAAAUCAAUCCAGUUUGCGAACAACACGAUUCGAAACCCUGCAAUUCUUUUUUUUGAUAUUUUUCUUUUACUUAAGAGCACUGAAGAAGUAACCACAAGAAAUUUGAGCUUAAACAAGUGAACGACGUGGCCUGUGGAAUUUUUUGAAGAUUGCGAAAAAUAUGAAAAUAAAGUUUAGGAGGUGAAAACUCAAAUUUUCAGAGGCGAGUUUGGGAAUUCUAAAUUCGUCGCACCCGCCUAUGGCUGGGAUAGACAGAUCCAAAAUUUUUUCUGAUCGAUUUUGAUAUAUGGAACGUCAAAAUCGGAGUUCGUAGGCGAAAGUUAUGGCUGUUUUACGAACGGACUACGAAUUAGGGGACAAAACAGUCCGGAAGUAGGAAAAUUUUGCGGUGGUGGCUAUAAAUUGAUGGAAAGGGUGGGAAGAAACACACAAAUUGGACUCUAACAAGAUCUAACCAGUAACAUGAUCUCGACUAGGACACAAACUCAACACUACGGGCUCUGAAACUGAAAUAUGCAAAGGCUGUGGCGCGGAUGGGGUGUAGGACAUGAAAACAAUAUAGCACUAGGCUUAUGGGACGAACACAAGGACACUCGAAACUAAGGAUAGAUAUGAACCUAACGGUACGUCUGGAGCUUUGAUUAACACUUGAGGAGAACAAGUGUGGCCCGAUCUUCCGAAAGGUUCUAGUAACUAUCAGUUUUGUGGAAACGAGACCCAAAUCAAUCCAUCUUGCGAACAACACGGUUCGAAACUAUGCAAUUUUUUUUUUGAUAUUUUUCUUUUACUUAGGAGCACUCAAGAAGUAACCAUAGGAAAUUUGAGCUUAAACAAGUGAAAGACUUGGCCUGUGAAAUUUUUUGAAGAUUACGAAGAAUAUAAAAAAACUUUAGGAGGUGAAAACUCAAACUUCAGGGGCGAAUUUGGGGAUUCUAAAAUUAUCGAACCCACCUCUAGCAAAGAUAGACAGAUCCAAAAAUUUGUUCUGAUCGAUUUUGAUAUAUGGAACGUCAAUAUCGGAGUUCCUAUGCGAAAGUUAUGGCUGUUUUACGAACGGACUCUGAAUUAGAGGACAAAACGGUCCGGAAGUGGGAAAAUUUUACGGUGGUGGCUAUAAAUUGAUGGAAACGGUGGGAAGAAACACACAAAUUGGACUCUAACAAGACCUAACCAGUAACACUGAAACUGAAAUAUGUAAAGGCUAUGGCGCGGAUGGGUUGUAGGACAUGAAAACAAUAUAGCACUAGACUUAUGGGACGGACAUAAGGACACUCGAAACUAAGGAUAGAUAUGAACCUAACGGUACGUCUGAAGCUUUGAUUAACACUUGAGGAGAACAAGUGUGGCCCGAUCUUCCGAAAGGUUCUAGUAACUAUCAAUUUGGUGGAAACGAGACCCAAAUCAAUCCAUCUUGCGAACAACGCGAUUCGAAACCCUGCAAUUCUUUUUAUUUUUUUUGAUAUUUUUCUUUUACUUAGGAGCACUCAAGAAGUAACCAUAGGAAAUUUGAGCUUAAACAAGUGAAGGACGUGGCCUGUGGAAUUUUUUGAAGAUUGCGAAAAAUAUAAAAAAACUUUAGGAGGUGAAGACUCAAACUUCAGGGGCGAAUUUGGGGAUUCUAAAAUUAUCGAACCCACCUCUAGCAGAGAUAGACAGAUCCAAAAAUUUGUUCUGAUCGAUUUUGAUAUAUGGAACGUCAAUAUCGGAGUUCGUAUGCGAAAGUUAUGACUGUUUUACGAACGGACUCCGAAUUAGAGGACAAAACGGUCCGGAAGUGGGAAAAAUUUGUGGUGGUGGCUAGAAAUUGAUGGAAACGGUGGGAAAAAACACACAAACUGGACUCUAACAAGACCAAAUCAGUAACAAGACCUCGACCAGGACACAAACUCAACACUACGGAAUCUGAAACUGAAAUAUGCAAAGGUUAUGGCGCGGAUGGGUUGUAGGACAUGAAAACAAUUUGGCACUAGACUUAUGGGAGGAACACAAGGACACUCGAAACUAAGGGUAGAUGUGAACCUAACAGUACGUCUGAAGCUUUGAUUACCACUUGAGGAGAACAAGGCCCGAUCUUCCGAAAGGUUCUUUUAACUAUCGAUUUCGUGGAAACGAGACACAAAUCAAUCCAGUUUGCGAACAACACGAUUCGAAACCCUACAAUUCUUUUUUUUGAUAUUUUUCUUUUACUUAGGAGCACUGAAGAAGUAACCACAAGAAAUUUGAGCUUAAACAAGUGAAGGACGUGGCCUGUGGAAUUUUUUGAAGAUUGCGAAAAAUAUGAAAAUAAAGUUUAGGAGGUGAAAACUCAAAUUUUCAGAGGCGAGUUUGGGAAUUCUAAAUUCGUCGCACCCGCCAAUGGCUGGGAUAGAUAGAUCCAAAAAUUUUUCUGAUCGAUUUUGAUAUAUGGAACGUCAAAAUCGGAGUUCGUAGGCGAAAGUUAUGGCUGUUUUACGAACGGACUCCGAAUUAGGGGACAAAACAGUCCGGAAGUGGGAAAAUUUUGCGGUGGUGGCUAUAAAUUGAUGGAAAGGGUGGGAAGAAACACACAAAUUGGACUCUAACAAGACCUAACCAGUAACAAGAUCUCGACCAGGUCACAAACUCAACACUACGGACUCUGAAACUGAAAUAUGCAAAGGCUAUGGCGCGGAUGGGUUGUAGGACAUGAAAACAAUAUAGCACUAGACUUAUGGGACGAACACAAGGACACUCGAAACUAAGGAUAGAUAUGAACCUAACGGUACGUCUGAAGCUUUGAUUAACAUUUGAGGAGAACAAGUGUGGCCCGAUCUUCCGAAAGGUUCUAGUAACUAUCAAUUUUGUGGAAACGAGACCCAAAUCAAUCCAUCUUGCGAACAACACGGUUCGAAACUAUGCAAUUUUUUUUUUGAUAUUUUUCUUUUACUUAGGAGCACUCAAGAAGUAACCAUAGGAAAUUUGAGCUUAAACAAGUGAAAGACUUGGCCUGUGAAAUUUUUUGAAGAUUACGAAGAAUAUAAAAAAACUUUAGGAGGUGAAAACUCAAACUUCAGGGGCGAAUUUGGGGAUUCUAAAAUUAUCGAACCCACCUCUAGCAAAGAUAGACAGAUCCAAAAAUUUGUUCUGAUCGAUUUUGAUAUAUGGAACGUCAAUAUCGGAGUUCCUAUGCGAAAGUUAUGGCUGUUUUACGAACGGACUCUGAAUUAGAGGACAAAACGGUCCGGAAGUGGGAAAAUUUUACGGUGGUGGCUAUAAAUUGAUGGAAACGGUGGGAAAAAACACACAAACUGGACUCUAACAAGACCAAAUCAGUAACAAGACCUCGACCAGGACACAAACUCAACACUACGGACUCUGAAACUGAAAUAUGCAAAGGUUAUGGCGCGGAUGGGUUGUAGGACAUGAAAACAAUUUGGCACUAGACUUAUGGGACGAACACAAGGACACUCGAAACUAAGGGUAGAUGUCAACCUAACGGUACGUCUGAAGCUUUGAUUACCACUUGAGGAGAACAAGGCCCGAUCUUCCGAAAGGUUCUGGUAACUAUCGAUUUGGUGGAAACGAGACACAAAUCAAUCCAGUUUGCGAACAACACGAUUCGAAACCUUGCAAUUCUUUUUUUUUUGAUAUUUUUCCUUUUACUUAGGAGCACUGAAGAAGUAACCACAAGAAAUUUGAGCUUAAACAAGUGAAGGACGUGGCCUGUGGAAUUUUUUGAAGAUUGCGAAAAAUAUGAAAAUAAAGUUUAGGAGGUGAAAACUCAAAUUUUCAGAGGCGAGUUUAGGAAUUCUAAAUUUGUCGCACCCGCCUAUGGCAGGGAUAGACAGAUCCAAAAAUUUUUCUGAUCGAUUUUGAUAUAUGGAACGUCAAAAUCGGAGUUCGUAGGCGAAAGUUAUGGCUCUUUUACGAACGGACUCAGAAUUAGAGGACAAAACGGUCCGGAAGUGGGAAAAAUUUGCGGUGGCGGCUAGAAAUUGAUGGAAACGGUGGGAAAAACACACAAACUGGACUCUAACAAGACCAAAUUAGUAACAAGACCUCGACCAGGACACAAACUCAACACUACGGACUAUGAAACGGAAAUAUGCAAAGGUUAUGGCGCGGAUGGGUUGUAGGACAUGAAAACAAUUUGGCACUAGACUUAUGGGACGAACACAAGGACACUCGAAACUAAGGGUAGAUGUGAACCUAACGGUACGUCUGAAGCUUUGAUUACCACUUGAGGAGAACAAGGCCCGAUCUUCCGAAAGGGUCUGGUAACUAUCGAUUUGGUGGAAACGAGACACAAAUUAAUCCAGUUUGCGAACAACACGAUUCGAAACCCGGCAAUUCUUUUUAUUUUUUUUGAUAUUUUUCUUUUACUUAGGAGCACUCAAGAAGUAACCACAAGAAAUUUGAGCUUAAACAAGUGAAGGACGUGGCCUGUGGAAUUUUUUGAAGAUUGCGAAAAAUAUGAAAAUAAAGUUUAGGAGGUGAAAACUCAAAUUUUUCAGAGGCGAGUUUGGGAAUUCUAAAUUUGUCGCACCCGCCUAUGGUGGGGAUAGACAGAUCCAAAAAAUUUUCUGAUCGAUUUUGAUAUAUGGAACGUCAAAAUCAGAGUUCGUAGGCCAAAGUUAUGGCUGUUUUACGAACGGACUCUGAAUUAGAGGACAAAACGGUCCGGAAGUGGGAAAAUUUUACGGUGGUGGCUAUAAAUUGAUGGAAACGGUGGGAAGAAACACACAAAUUGGACUCUAACAAGACCUAACCAGUAACAAGAUCUCGACCAGGACACAAACUCAACACUACGGACUCUGAAACUGAAAUAUGCAAAGGCUAUGGCGCGGAUGGGUUGUAGGACAUGAAAACAAUAUAGCACUAGACUUAUGGGACGAACACAAGGACACUCGAAACUAAGGAUAGAUAUGAACCUAACGGUACGUCUGAAGCUUUGAUUAACACUUGAGGAGAACAAGUAUGGCCCGAUCUUCCGAAACGUUCUAGUAACUAUCAAUUUGGUGGAAACGAGACCCAAAUCAAUCCAUCUUGCGAACAACGCGGUUCGAAACCCUGCAAAUCUUUUUAUUUAUUUUUUUUGAUAUUUUUAUUUUACUUAGGAGCACUCAAGAAGUAACCAUAGAAAUUUUGAGCUUAAACAAGUGAAAGACUUGGCCUGUGGAAUUUUUUGAAGAUUGCGAAAAAUAAAAAAAACUUUAGGAGGUGAAAACUCAAAUUUCAGGGGCGAAUUUGGGGAUUCUAAAAUUAUCGAACCCACCUCUAGCGGAGAUAGACAGAUCCAAAAAUUUGUUCUGAUCGAUUAUGAUAUAUGGAACGUCAAUAUCGGAGUUCGUAUGCGAAAGUUAUGACUGUUUUACGAACGGACUCCGAAUUAGAGGACAAAACGGUCCGGAAGUGGGAAAAAUUUGUGGUGGUGGCUAGAAAUUGAUGGAAACGGUGGGAAAAAACACACAAACUGGACUCUAACAAGACCAAAUCAGUAACAAGACCUCGACCAGGACACAAACUCAACACUACGGAAUCUGAAACUGAAAUAUGCAAAGGUUAUGGCGCGGAUGGGUUGUAGGACAUGAAAACAAUUUGGCACUAGACUUAUGGGAGGAACACAAGGACACUCGAAACUAAGGGUAGAUGUGAACCUAACAGUACGUCUGAAGCUUUGAUUACCACUUGAGGAGAACAAGGCCCGAUCUUCCGAAAGGUUCUUUUAACUAUCGAUUUCGUGGAAACGAGACACAAAUCAAUCCAGUUUGCGAACAACACGAUUCGAAACCCUACAAUUCUUUUUUUUGAUAUUUUUCUUUUACUUAGGAGCACUGAAGAAGUAACCACAAGAAAUUUGAGCUUAAACAAGUGAAGGACGUGGCCUGUGGAAUUUUUUGAAGAUUGCGAAAAAUAUGAAAAUAAAGUUUAGGAGGUGAAAACUCAAAUUUUCAGAGGCGAGUUUGGGAAUUCUAAAUUCGUCGCACCCGCCAAUGGCUGGGAUAGAUAGAUCCAAAAAUUUUUCUGAUCGAUUUUGAUAUAUGGAACGUCAAAAUCGGAGUUCGUAGGCGAAAGUUAUGGCUGUUUUACGAACGGACUCCGAAUUAGGGGACAAAACAGUCCGGAAGUGGGAAAAUUUUGCGGUGGUGGCUAUAAAUUGAUGGAAAGGGUGGGAAGAAACACACAAAUUGGACUCUAACAAGACCUAACCAGUAACAAGAUCUCGACCAGGUCACAAACUCAACACUACGGACUCUGAAACUGAAAUAUGCAAAGGCUAUGGCGCGGAUGGGUUGUAGGACAUGAAAACAAUAUAGCACUAGACUUAUGGGACGAACACAAGGACACUCGAAACUAAGGAUAGAUAUGAACCUAACGGUACGUCUGAAGCUUUGAUUAACACUUGAGGAGAACAAGUAUGGCCCGAUCUUCCGAAACGUUCUAGUAACUAUCAAUUUGGUGGAAACGAGACCCAAAUCAAUCCAUCUUGCGAACAACGCGGUUCGAAACCCUGCAAAUCUUUUUAUUUAUUUUUUCUGAUAUUUUUAUUUUACUUAGGAGCACUCAAGAAGUAACCAUAGAAAUUUUGAGCUUAAACAAGUGAAAGACUUGGCCUGUGGAAUUUUUUGAAGAUUGCGAAAAAUAAAAAAAACUUUAGGAGGUGAAAACUCAAAUUUCAGGGGCGAAUUUGGGGAUUCUAAAAUUAUCGAACCCACCUCUAGCGGAGAUAGACAGAUCCAAAAAUUUGUUCUGAUCGAUUAUGAUAUAUGGAACGUCAAAAUCGGAAUUCGUAUGCGACAGUUAUGGCUGUUUUACGAACGGACUCCGAAUUAGAGGACAAACAGUCCGGAAGUGGGAAACAUUUGCGGCGGUGCCUAUAAAUUGAUGGAAACGGUGGGAAGAAACACACAAAUUUGACUCUAACAAGACCUAGCCAGUAACACUGAAACUGAAAUAUGCAAAGGUUAUGGCGCGGAUGGGUUGUAGGACAUGAAAACAAUAUAGCACUAGACUUAUGGGAUGAACAUAAAGACACUCGAAACUAAGGAUAGAUAUGAACCUAACGGUACGUCUGAAGCUUUGAUUAACACUUGAGGAGAACAAGUGUGGCCCGAUCUUCCGAAAGGUUCUAGUAACUAUCAAUUUGGUGGAAACGAGACCCAAAUCAAUCCAUCUUGCGAACAACGCGGUUCGAAACCCUGCAAUUCUAUUUUUUUUUUGAUAUUUGUCUUUUACUUAGGAGCACUCAAGAAGUAACCAUAGGAAAUUUGAGCUUAAACAAGUGAAAGACUUGGCCUGUGGAAUUUUUUUAAGAUUGUGAAAAAUAUAAAAAAACUUUAGGAGAUGAAAACUCAAACUUCAGGGGCGAAUUUGGGGAUUCUAAAAUUAUCGAACCCACCUCUAGUGGAGAUAGACAGAUCCAAAAAUUUGUUCUGAUCGAUUUUGAUAUAUGGAACGUCAAUAUCGGAGUUCGUAUGCGAAAGUUAUGGCUGUUUUACGAACGGACUCCGAAUUAGAGGACAAAACGGUCCGGAAGUGGGAAAAAUUUGUGGUGGUGGCUAGAAAUUAAUGGAAACGGUGGGAAAAAACACACAAACUGGACUCUAACAAGACCAAAUCAGUAACAAGACCUCGACCAGGACACAAACUCAACACUACGGACUCUAAAACUGAAAUAUGCAAAGGUUAUGGCGCGGAUGGGUUGUAGGACAUGAAAACAAUUUGGCACUAGACUUAUGGGACGAACACAAGGACACUCGAAACUAAGGAUAGAUGUGAACCUAACGGUACGUCUGAAGCUUUGAUUACCACAUGAGGAGAACAAGGCCCGAUCUUCCGAAAGGUUCUGGUAACUAUCGAUUUGGUGGAAACGAGACACAAAUCAAUCCAGUUUGCGAACAACACGAUUCGAAACCCUGCAAUUCUUUUUUUUGAUAUUUUUCUUUUACUUAGGAGCACUCAAGAAGUAACCACAGGAAAUUUGAGCUUGAACAAGUGAAGGACGUGGCCUGUGGAAUUUUUUGAAGAUUGCGAAAAUAUGAAAAGAAAGUUUAGGAGGUGAAAACUCAAAUUUUCAGAGGCGAGUUUAGGAAUUCUAAAUUUGUCGCACCUGCCUAUGGCGGGGAUAGACAGAUCCAAAAAUUUUUCUGAUCGAUUUUGAUAUAUGGAACGUCAAAAUCGGAGUUUGUAGGCGAAAGUUAUGGCUGUUUUAUGAACGGACUCUGAAUUAGAGGACAAAACGGUCCGGAAGUGGGAAAAAUUUGCGGUGGUGGCUAGAAAUUGAUGGAAACGGUGGGAAAAACACACAAACUGGACUCUAACAAGACCAAAUUAGUAACAAGACCUUGACCAGGACACAAACUCAACACUACGGACUAUGAAACUGAAAUAUGCAAAGGUUAUGGCGCGGAUGGGUUGUAGGACAUGAAAACAAUUUGGCACUAGACUUAUGGGACGAACACAAGGACACUCGAAACUAAGGGUAGAUGUGAACCUAAUGGUACGUCUGAAGCUUUGAUUACCACUUGAGGAGAACAAGGCCCGAUCUUGCGAAAGGUUCUGGUAACUAUCGAUUUGGUGGAAACGAGACACAAAUUAAUCCAGUUUGCGAACAACACGAUUCGAAACCCUACAAUUCUUUUUAUUUUUUUGAUAUUUUUAUUUUACUUAGGAGCACUCAAGAAGUAACCACAAGAAAUUUGAGCUUAAACAAGUGAAGGACGUGGCCUGUGGAAUUUUUUGAAGAUUGCGAAAAAUAUAAAAAUAAAGUUUAGGAGGUGAAAACUCAAAUUUUCAGAGGCGAGUUUGGGAAUUCUAAAUUUGUCGCACCCGCCUAUGGUGGGGAUAGACAGAUCCAAAAAUUUUUCUGAUCAAUUUUGAUAUAUGGAACGUUAAAAUCAGUGUUCGUAGGCGAAAGUUAUGGCUGUUUUACGAACGGACUCUGAAUUAGAGGACAAAACGGUCCGGAAGUGGGAAAAAUUUGCGGUGGUGGCUAGAAAUUGAUGGAAACGGUGGGAAAAACACACAAACUGGACUCUAACAAGACCAAAUUAGUAACAAGACCUCGACCAGGACACAAACUCAACACUACGGACUAUGAAACUGAAAUAUGCAAAGGUUAUGGAGCGGAUGGGUUGUAGGACAUGAAAACAAUUUGGCACUAGACUUAUGGGACGAACACAAGGACACUCGAAACUAAGGGUAGAUGUGAACCUAACGGUGCGUCUGAAGCUUUGAUUACCACUUGAGGAGAACAAGGCCCGAUCUUCCGAAAGGUUUUGGUAACUAUCGAUUUGGUGGAAACAAGACACAAAUUAAUCCAGUUUGCGAACAACACGAUUAGAAACCCUGCAAUUCUUUUUAUUUUUUUUAUUUGAUAUUUUUGUUUUACUUAGGAGCACCGAACAAGUAGCCACAGGAAAUUUGAGCUUAAACAAGUGAAAGACGUUGCCUGUGGAAUUUUUUUAGAUUGCGAAAAAUAUGAAAAUAAACUUUAGGAGGUGAAAACUCAAAUUUAAAGGCAAAUUUGGGGAUUCUAAAAUUAUCAAACCCGCCUCUAGCAGAGAUAAACAGAUCCAAAAAUUUGUUCUGAUCGAUUUUGAUAUAUGGAACGUCAAAAUCGGAAUUCGUAUGCGAAAGUUAUGGUUGUUUUACGAACGGACUCCGAAUUAGAGGACAAAACAGUCCGGAAGUGGGAAACAUUUGCGGCGGUGGCUAUAAAUUGAUGGCAACGGUGGGAAGAAACACACAAAUUGGACUCUAACAAGACCUAACCAGUAACAAGAUCUCGACCAGGACACAAACUCAACACUACGGACACUGAAACUGAAAUAUAGGCUAUGGCGCGGAUGGGUUGUAGGACAUGAAAACAAUAUAGCACUAGACUUAUGGGACGAACACAAGGACACUCGAAACUAAGGAUAGAUAUGAACCUAACGGUACGUCUGAAGCUUUGAUUAACACUUGAGGAGAACAAGUGUGGCCCGAUCUUCCGAAACGUUCUAGUAACUAUCAAUUUGGUGGAAACGAGACCCAAAUCAAUCCAUCUUGCGAACAACGCGGUUCGAAACCCUGCAAUUCUUUUUAUUUUUAUUUUGAUAUUUUUCUUUUACUUAGGAGCACUCAAGAAGUAACCAUAGGAAAUUUGAGCUUAAACAAGUGAAAGACUUGGCCCGUGGAAUUUUUUGAAGAUUGCGAAAAAUAUAAAAAAAACUUUUGGAGUUGAAAACUCAAAUUUUAGAGGCAAAUUUGGGGAUUCUAAAAUUGUCAAACGCGCACACGGCGGGGAUAGACAGAUCCAAAAGUUUGUUCUGAUCGAUUUUGAUAUAUGGAACGUCAAAAUCGGAGUUCGUAUGCGAAAAUUUUGUCUGUUUUACGAACGGACAACGAAUUAGAGGACAAAACAGUCCGGUAGUGGGAAAAAUUUGCGCGGUGGCUAUAAAUUGAUGGAAAUGGUGGGAAGAAACACACAAAUUGGACUCUAACAAGACCUAACCAGUAACAAGAUCUCGACCAGGACCCAAACUCAAAACUACGGACUCUGAAACUGAAAUAUGCAAAGGCUAUGGCGCGGAUGGGUUGUAGGACAUAAAAACAAUAUAGCAUUAGACUUAUGGGACAAACACAAGGACACUCGAAACUAAGGAUAGAUUUGAAAAUAACAGUACGUCUGAACCUUUGAUUAACACUUGAGGAGAACAAGUGUGGCCCGAUCUUCCGAAAGGUUCUAGUAACUAUCAAUUUGGUGGAAACGAGACCCAAAUCAAUCCACCUUGCGAACAACGCGGUUCGAAACUCUGCAAUUCUUUUUAUUUUUUUUUUAUAUUUUUCUUUUACUUAGGAGCACUCAAGAAGUAACCACCGGAAAUUUGAGCUUAAACAAGUAAAAGACGUGGCCUGUGGAAAUUUUUGAAGAUUGCAAAAAAUAUAGAAAAAAAUUUAGGAGGUGAAAACUCAAACUUCAGGGGCGAAUUUGGGGAUUCUAAAAUUAUCGAACCCGCCCUUAGCGGAAAUAGACAGAUCCAAAAAUUUGUUCUGAUCGAUUUUGAUAUAUGGAACGUCAAAAUCGGAGUUCGUAUGCGAAAGUUAUGGCUGUUCUACGAACGGACUCCGAAUUAGAGGACAAAACGGUCCGGAAGUGGGAAAAAUUUACGGUGGUGGCUAGAAAUUGAUGGAAACGGUGGGAAAAAACACACAAACUAGACUCUAACAACACCAAAUCAGUAACAAGACCUCGACCAGGACACAAACUCAACACUACGGACUCUAAAACUAAAAUAUGCAAAGGUUAUGGCGCGGAUGGGUUGUAGGACAUAAAAACAAUAUGGCACUGGAUUUAUGGGACGAACACAAGGACACACGAAACUAAGGGUAGAUGUGAACCUAACGGUACGUCUGAAGCUUUGAUUACCACUUGAGGAGAACAAGGCCCGAUCUUCCGAAAGGUUCUGUUAACUAUCGAUUUGGUGGAAACGAGACACAAAUCAAUCCAGUUUGCGAACAACACGAUUCGAAACCCUGCAAUUCUUUUUAUUUUUUUGAUAUUUUUCUUUUACUUAGGAGCACACAAGAAGUAAGCACAGGAAAUUUGAGCUUAAACAAGUGAGGGACGUGGCCUGUGGAAUUUUUUGAAGAUUGUGAAAAAUAUGAAAAUAAAGUUUAGGAGCUGAAAACUCAAAUUUUCAGAGGCGAGUUUGGGGAUUCUAAAUUUGUCGCACCCGCCUAUGGUGGGGAUAGAUAGAUCCAAAAAUUUUUCUGAUCGAUUAUGAUAUAUGGAAUGUCAAAAUCGGAGUUCGUAGGCGAAAGUUAUGGCUGUUUUACGAACGGACUCUGAAUUAGAGGACAAAACGGUCCGGAAGUGGGAAAAAUUUGCGGUGGUGGCUAGAAAUUGAUGGAAACGGUGGGAAAAAAUACACAAACUGGACUCAAACAAGACCUAACCAGUAACAAGACCUCGACCAGGACACAAACUCAAAACUACGGAUUCUGAAACUAAAAUAUGCAAACGCUAUGGCGCAGAUGAGUUGUAGGACAUGAAAACAAUAUGGAACUAGGCUUAUGAGACGAACACAAGGACACUCGAAACUAAGGGUAGAUGUGAACCUAACGGUAUGUCUGAUGCUUUGAUUUCCACUUGAGGAGAACAAGUGUGGCCCGAUCUUCCGAAAGGUUCUGGUAACUAUCGAUUUGGUAGAAACGAGACACAAAUCAAUCCAGCUUACGAACAACACGAUUCGAAACCCUACAAUUCUUAUUUUUUGAUAUUUUUCUUUUACUUAGGAGCACUCAAGAAGUAAGCAUAGGAAAUUUGAGCUUAAACAAGUGAAAUACGUGACCUGUGGAAACUUUUGAAUAUUGCGAAAAAUAUAGAAAAAAAUUUAGGAGGUGAAAACUCAAACUUCAGGGGCGAAUUUGGGGAUUCUAAAAUUAUCGAACCCGCCCUUAACGGAAAUAGACAGAUCCAAAAAUUUGUUCUGAUCGAUUUUGAUAUAUGGAACGUCAAAAUCGGAGUUCGUAUACGAAAGUUAUGGCUGUUCUACGAACGGACUCUGAAUUAGAGGACAAAACGGUCCGGAAGUGGGAAAAAUUUACGGUGGUGGCUAGAAAUUGAUGGAAACGGUGGGAAAAAACACACAAACUGGACUCUAACAACACCAAAUCAGUAACAAGACCUCGACCAGGACACAAACUCAACACUACGGACUCUAAAACUAAAAUAUGCAAAGGUUAUGGCGCGGAUGGGUUGUAGGACAUAAAAACAAUAUGGCACUGGAUUUAUGGGACGAACACAAGGACACACGAAACUAAGGGUAGAUGUGAACCUAACGGUACGUCUGAAGCUUUGAUUACCACUUGAGGAGAACAAGGCCCGAUCUUCCGAAAGGUUCUGUUAACUAUCGAUUUGGUGGAAACGAGACACAAAUCAAUCCAGUUUGCGAACAACACGAUUCGAAACCCUGCAAUUCUUUUUAUUUUUUUGAUAUUUUUCUUUUACUUAGGAGCACACAAGAAGUAAGCACAGGAAAUUUGAGCUUAAACAAGUGAGGGACGUGGCCUGUGGAAUUUUUUGAAGAUUGUGAAAAAUAUGAAAAUAAAGUUUAGGAGCUGAAAACUCAAAUUUUCAGAGGCGAGUUUGGGGAUUCUAAAUUUGUCGCACCCGCCUAUGGUGGGGAUAGAUAGAUCCAAAAAUUUUUCUGAUCGAUUAUGAUAUAUGGAAUGUCAAAAUCGGAGUUCGUAGGCGAAAGUUAUGGCUGUUUUACGAACGGACUCUGAAUUAGAGGACAAAACGGUCCGGAAGUGGGAAAAAUUUGCGGUGGUGGCUAGAAAUUGAUGGAAACGGUGGGAAAAAAUACACAAACUGGACUCAAACAAGACCUAACCAGUAACAAGACCUCGACCAGGACACAAACUCAAAACUACGGAUUCUGAAACUAAAAUAUGCAAACGCUAUGGCGCAGAUGAGUUGUAGGACAUGAAAACAAUAUGGAACUAGGCUUAUGAGACGAACACAAGGACACUCGAAACUAAGGGUAGAUGUGAACCUAACGGUAUGUCCGAUGCUUUGAUUUCCACUUGAGGAGAACAAGUGUGGCCCGAUCUUCCGAAAGGUUCUGGUAACUAUCGAUUUGGUAGAAACGAGACACAAAUCAAUCCAGCUUACGAACAACACGAUUCGAAACCCUACAAUUCUUAUUUUUUGAUAUUUUUCUUUUACUUAGGAGCACUCAAGAAGUAAGCAUAGGAAAUUUGAGCUUAAACAAGUGAAAUACGUGACCUGUGGAAACUUUUGAAUAUUGCGAAAAAUAUAGAAAAAAAUUUAGGAGGUGAAAACUCAAACUUCAGGGGCGAAUUUGGGGAUUCUAAAAUUAUCGAACCCGCCCUUAACGGAAAUAGACAGAUCCAAAAAUUUGUUCUGAUCGAUUUUGAUAUAUGGAACGUCAAAAUCGGAGUUCGUAUACGAAAGUUAUGGCUGUUCUACGAACGGACUCUGAAUUAGAGGACAAAACGGUCCGGAAGUGGGAAAAAUUUACGGUGGUGGCUAGAAAUUGAUGGAAACGGUGGGAAAAAACACACAAACUGGACUCUAACAACACCAAAUCAGUAACAAGACCUCGACCAGGACACAAACUCAACACUACGGACUCUAAAACUAAAAUAUGCAAAGGUUAUGGCGCGGAUGGGUUGUAGGACAUAAAAACAAUAUGGCACUGGAUUUAUGGGACGAACACAAGGACACACGAAACUAAGGGUAGAUGUGAACCUAACGGUACGUCUGAAGCUUUGAUUACCACUUGAGGAGAACAAGGCCCGAUCUUCCGAAAGGUUCUGUUAACUAUCGAUUUGGUGGAAACGAGACACAAAUCAAUCCAGUUUGCGAACAACACGAUUCGAAACCCUGCAAUUCUUUUUAUUUUUUUGAUAUUUUUCUUUUACUUAGGAGCACACAAGAAGUAAGCACAGGAAAUUUGAGCUUAAACAAGUGAGGGACGUGGCCUGUGGAAUUUUUUGAAGAUUGUGAAAAAUAUGAAAAUAAAGUUUAGGAGCUGAAAACUCAAAUUUUCAGAGGCGAGUUUGGGGAUUCUAAAUUUGUCGCACCCGCCUAUGGUGGGGAUAGAUAGAUCCAAAAAUUUUUCUGAUCGAUUAUGAUAUAUGGAAUGUCAAAAUCGGAGUUCGUAGGCGAAAGUUAUGGCUGUUUUACGAACGGACUCUGAAUUAGAGGACAAAACGGUCCGGAAGUGGGAAAAAUUUACGGUGGUGGCUAGAAAUUGAUGGAAACGGUGGGAAAAAACACACAAACUGGACUCAAACAAGACCUAACCAGUAACAAGACCUCGACCAGGACACAAACUCAAAACUACGGAUUCUGAAACUAAAAUAUGCAAACGCUAUGGCGCAGAUGAGUUGUAGGACAUGAAAACAAUAUGGAACUAGGCUUAUGAGACGAACACAAGGACACUCGAAACUAAGGGUAGAUGUGAACCUAACGGUAUGUCUGAUGCUUUGAUUUCCACUUGAGGAGAACAAGUGUGGCCCGAUCUUCCGAAAGGUUCUGGUAACUAUCGAUUUGGUGGAAACGAGACACAAAUCAAUCCAGCUUACGAACAACACGAUUCGAAACCCUACAAUUCUUAUUUUUUGAUAUUUUUCUUUUACUUAGGAGCUCUCAAGAAGUAAGCAUAGGAAAUUUGAGCUUAAACAAGUGAAAUACGUGACCUGUGGAAACUUUUGAAUAUUGCGAAAAAUAUGAAAAAAACUUUUGGAGGUGAAAACUCAAACUUUAGAGGCGAAUUUGGGGAUUCUAAAAUUGUCAAACCCGCACACGGUGGGGAUAGACAGAUCCAAAAAUUUGGUUUGAUCGAUUUUGAUAUAUAGAACGUCAAAAUCGGAGUUCGUAUGCGAAAAUUAUGGCUGUUUUACGAACGGACACCGAAUUAGAGGACAAAACAGUCCGGUAGUGGGAAAAAUUUGCGCGGGUGGCUAUAAAUUGAUGGAAACGGUGGGAAGAAACAUACAAAUUGGACUCUAACAACACCUAACCAGUAACAAGAUCUCGACCAGGACACAAACUCAACACUACGGACUCUGAAACGGAAAUAUGCAAAGGCUAUGGCGCGGAUGGGUUGUAGGACAUAAAAACAAUAUAGCACUAGACUUAUGGGACGAACACAAGGACACUCGAAACAAAGGAUAGAUGUGAACCUAACGGUACGUCUGAAGCUUUGAUUACCACUUGAGGAGAACAAGUGUGGCCCGAUCUUCCGAAAGGUUCUGGUAACUAUCGAUUUGGUGGAAACGAGACCCAAAUCAAUCCACCUUGCGAACAACGCGGUUCGAAACCCUACAAUUCUUUUUUUUUUUAUUUUACUUAGGAGCACUCAAGAAGUAACCACAGGAAAUUUGAGCUUAAACAAGUGAAAGUCGUGGCCUGUGGAAAUUUUUGAAGAUUGCGAAAAAUAUAAAAAAACUUUAGGAGGUGAAAACUCAAUCUUCAGGGGCGAAUUUGGGGAUUCUAAAAUCAUCGAACCCGCCUCUAGCAGAGAUACAUAGAUCCAAAAAUUUGUUCUGAUCGAUUUUGAUAUAUGGAACGUCAAAAUCGGAGUUCGUAUGCGAAAGUUAUGGCUGUUUUACGAACGGACUCCGAAUUAGAGGACAAAACGGUCCGGAAGUGGUAAAAAUGUGCGGUGGUGGCUAGAAAUUAAUGGAAACGGUGGGAUAAAACACACAAACUGGACUCUGACAACACCAAAUCAGUAACAAGACCUCGACCAGGACACAAACUCAACACUACGGACUCUAAAACUGAAAUAUGCAAAGGUUAUGGCGUAGAUGGGUUGUAGGACGUGAAAACAAUAUGGCACUUGACUUAUGGGACGAACACAAGGACACUCGAAACUAAGGGUAGAUGUGAACCUAACGGUACGUCUGAAGCUUUGAUUACCACUUGUGGAGAACAAGGCCCGAUCUUCUGAAAGGUUCUGGUAACUAUCGAUUUGGUGGAAACGAGACACAAAUCAAUCCAGUUUGCGAACAACACAAUUCGAAACCCUGCAAUUCUUUUUAUUUUUUUUGAUAUUUUUCUUUUACUUAGGAGCACACAAGAAGUAAGCACAGGAAAUUUGAGCUUAAACAAGUGAAGGACGUGGCCUGUGGAAUUUUUUGAAGAUUGCGAAAACUAUGAAAAUAAAGUUUAGGAGGUGAAAACUCAAAUUUUCAGAGGCGAGUUUGGGGAUUCUAAAUUUGUCGCACCCGCCUAUGGCGGGGAUAGACAGAUCCAAAAAUUUUUCUGAUUGAUUUUGAUACAUGGAACGUCAAAAUUGGAGUUCGUAGGCGAAAGUUAUCGCUGUUUUACGAACGGACUCUGAAUUAGAGGACAAAACGGUCCGGAAGUGGGAAAAAUUUGCGGUGGUGGCUAGAAAUUGAUGGAAGCGGUGGGAAAAAACACACAAACUUGACUCAAACAAGACCUAAUCAGUAACAAGACCUCGACCAGGACACAAACUCAAAACUACGGAUUCUGAAACUGAAAUAUGCAAAGGCUAUGGCGCGGAUGGGUUGUAGGACAUGAAAACAAUAUGACACUAGACUUAUGAGACGAAUACAAGAACACUCGAAACUAAGGGUAGAUGUGAACCUAAUGGUAUGUCUGGUGCUUUGAUUACCACUUGAGGAGAACAAGUGUGGCCCGAUCUUCCGAAAGGUUCUGGUAACUAUCGAUUUGGUGGAAACGAGACACAAAUCAAUCCAGCUUACGAACAACACGAUUCGAAACCCUGCAAUUAUUCUUUUUUAAUAUUUUUCUUUUACUUAGAAGCACUCAAGAAGUAAGCACAGGAAAUUUGAGCUUAAACAAGUGAAAAACGUGACCUGUGGAAACUUUUGAAAAUUGCGAAAAAUAUGAAAAAAAUAUUUGGAGGUGAAAACUCAAACUUUAGAGGCGAAUUUGGGAAUUCUAAAAUUGUCAAACCCGCAUACGGUGGGGAUAGACAGAUCCAAAAAUUUGGUUUGAUCGAUUUUGAUAUAUGGAACAUCAAAAUCGGAGUUCGUAUGCGAAAAUUAUGGCUGUUUUACGAACGGACACCGAAUUAGAGGACAAAACAGUCUGGUACUGGGAAAAAUUGGCGCGGUGGCUAUAAAUUGAUGGAAACGGUGGGAAGAAACACACAAAUUGGACUCUAACAAGACCUAACCAGUAACAAGACCUCGACCAGGACACAAACUCAACACUACGGACUCUGAAACUGAAAUAUGCAAAGGCUAUCGCGCGGAUGGGUUGUAGGACAUGAAAACAAUAUAGCACUAGACUUAUGGGACGAACACAAGGACACUCGAAACUAAGGAUAGAUGUGAACCUAACGUUACAUGUGAAGCUUUGAUUAACACUUGAGGAGAACAAGUGUGGCCCGAUCUUCCAAAAGGUUCUAGUAACUACCAAUUUGGUGGAAACAAGACCCAAAUCAAUCUACCUUGCGAACAACGCGGUUCAAAACCCUGCAAUUAUUUUUACUUUUAUUAUGAUAUUUUUAUUUUACUUAGGAGCACUCAAGAAGUAACCACAGGAAAUUUGAGCUUAAACAAGUGAAAGACGUGGCCUGUGGAAAUUUUUGAAGAUUGCAAAAAAUAUAAAAAAAACAUUAGGAGCUGAAAACUCAAAAUUCAAGGGCAAAUUUGGGGUUUCUAAAUUUAUCGAACCCGCCUCUAGCGGAGAUAGACAGAUCCAAAAAUUUGUUCUGAUCGAUUUUGAUAUAUGAAACGUCAAAAUUGGAGUUCGUAUGCGAAAGUUAUGGCUAUUUUACGAGCGGACUUCGAAUUAGAGGACAAAACGGUCCGGAAGUGGGAAAAAUUUGCGGUGGUGGCUAGAAAUUGAUGGAAACUGUGGGAACAAACACACAAACUGGACUCUAACAAGACCUAACCAGUAACAAGAUCUCGACCAGGACACAAACUCAAAACUACGGGUUCUGAAACUGAAAUAUGCAAAGGCUAUGGCGCGGAUGGGUUGUAGGACAUGAAAACAAUAUGGCACUGGACUUAUGAGACGAACACAAGGACACUCAAAACUAAGGGUAGAUGUGAACCUAACGGUAUGUCUGAUGCUUUGAUUACCACUUGAGGAGAACAAGUGUGGCCCGAUCUUCCGAAUGGUUCUGGUAACUAUCGAUUUGGUGGAAACGAGACACAAAUCAAACCAGUUUGCGAACAACACGAUUCGAAACCCUGCAGUUCUUUUUAUUUUUUUUGAUAUUUUUCUUUUACUUAGGAGCACUCAAGAAGUAACCACAGGAAAUUUGAGCUUAAACAAGUGAAGGACGUGGCCUGUGGAAUUUUUUGAAGAUUGCGAAAAAUAUGAAAAUAAAGUUUAGGAGGUGAAAACUCAAAUUGUCAGAGGUGAGUUUGGGAAUUCUAAAUUUGUCGCACCCGCCUAUGGCGGGGAUAGACAGAUCCAAAAAUUUUUCUGAUCGAUUUUGAUAUAUGGAACGUCAAAAUCGGAGUUCGUAGGCGAAAGUUAUCGCUGUUUUACGAACGGACUCUGAAUUAGAGGACAAAACGGUCCGGAAGUGGGAAAAAUUUGCGGUGGUGGCUAGAAAUUGAUGGAAGCGAUGGGAAAAAACACACAAACUUGACUCAAACAAGACCUAAUCAGUAACAAGACCUCGACCAGGACACAAACUCAAAACUACGGAUUCUGAAACUGAAAUAUGCAAAGGCUAUGGCGCGGAUGGGUUGUAGGACAUGAAAACAAUAUGGCACUGGACUUAUGAGACGAACACAAGAACACUCGAAACUAAGGGUAGAUGUGAACCUAAUGGUAUGUCUGGUGCUUUGAUUACCACUUGAGGAGAACAAGUGUGGCCCGAUCUUCCGAAAGGUUCUGGUAACUAUCGAUUUGGUGGAAACGAGACAAAAAUCAAUUCAGCUUACGAACAACACGAUUCGAAACCCUACAAUUCUUUUUAUUUUUAUUUUGAUAUUUUUCUUUUACUUAGGAGCACUCAAGAAGUAAGCACAGUGUUGACGGUCCUUAAGUACUAAAAUUAAUAAUCAAAUAAACAUGGAAAAGGAUCAAUAUGAAACAAAUAUCUAGAAUUAGGGUUUUAUCUGACAGAAUUCCACGAGCUUUGGUGUUUAUCUAUUUCUGCAGGGGGUUAUCAGAGAAUAUGGAGAGAAGGCCCACAUGUCAUGUUUACAACGAGAUAAUUACGUGCCGCGCAAUUUUCCUCAAUCUAGAAGAGUCCAGAAGCCACGGGAACGAACGAGAGCACGAUCGGGCUCGGGGUCAGGGCGGCCGCCCACCCCCCUUGGGUGCCCGCCCAGGUUUGGAACCCAAUAGGGACUCUGCUUCGGGACUACGCUCCACCGACCUAAAGGAUCAAUCUAAACCAUACAAUCAAUGUCGGUUUGAUCUGACGGCCCAAAUUCACUUGAAGGGACUAUAAAACCAAGGCCUACCCCCCUAGAGAGGAGAAGAGAAGAAAUCAUUAUUCAGAGGUAGCCAUCAAAGUUAGGGUUUAGAGCUUCUCUCCCAUAGAGAAUUAGAAUUAGCUACUCCCUAAUCCUUCAAGUUUAGAGGUUUGAUUAGAUAGCAAUUAGAGAAGUAGAGCACUACGCUCUGGAUUCGAUCUUCGGUAAUAAAGAUUGGUAUUAUUCAUAUCUUUCUCUAAUUCUUUGUUCUAAUUGCAUUACGUCUCUAAUUAUUAUGUUCUUAGUUUGCUCUAGUUCUAUAUUUGAUAUGGUUCUAAUUGAUAAUGAGUUUAUGUAUAAGUUUGCAAUGCGCUUAGCUCUUGAUGCGAGGGAGUUAGGUGAUAGAUCACAUGUGAGCGUGGUGCUUAGAUGUUAUUUAUCUGCAAAUGUAUCCUAUUGGCCGGGUCGUGUGGUAGUUCGCGAUAGUGACAGCUUCGUUGAUUCUUAUAUAGUCCACCCUCCGUUGAUAGGACAGGCAGAACCGGUAUUGUGGAGUAAGUCAUGCGACGCUCUGAUUUACUUUAUCAAUGUUCCUUAUACAUGAAUGAAGAGUCUUUUAUGCUAUAUAUGAUCUUGUAGAUAACUAGAGUAGAUUAUGACUUAGUAGUUAGUAGAUAACUUAGAAUCCAUUCUCUAGCUAAUCCGACAUCACCUACAUAUAUGAGGAGUAGUCUAUUUUCUAAUCGCUGUGUUAUCUACCCAUGAACUUAUAAUUCAUUAUCAUUAUCUUUAUGGUUUACCCCCUGCUAAAGUAAGUGAGUGUGUGACGAGUUUCUCAUUAGUAAUCAUGUUCUUGCAAGUUUAUCUCUAGUCUAUGCCUUGAUAGAUUUUGCCCCUUACUUUAAUUUCAUCCCUUGAGCAAAAUUAUAAAUAACGAUACCUGGAAUACUUAUCCUGGUGAAAUGCUACAAUGAGGUGUUUUAUCUGUACGCUUGCGGAUAGAAUAGAUUAUUUUCUAGAGAGCCUUUACAUUUAUAAAUACCUUUUGUACACUCCAGCACCAUGCUGGGGAUGACAACCUAGUAUCUAAGUGGUGUUAGCUAGUGUCAACAAGCAUUUCUGGCGCCGUUGCCGGGGAGUCUCAUGAAUAAGUCAUAAAGGUGUACAAAAGGGUAAUACUUAGGAAAGCUAGAAAAUCAGUCAAGGUUAUUCAUAUAAAAUAUUAGACUAGACUAUAGAGAAAUAAUUGCAUAAAAACAGCUACUAAGUGAGAGAUCAUAACAAGGCACCUCAGCUUUGGCAGGUUCACCCUGUUGUUUUUUUAUGUUUAUAUUUUUAUACAGGGUAUAUCAGGAUUGACUUUGGGUACAUUCAACUCUUCAUCAUCAGAACCAAAGCAAUCAAGAGAAGAAGAAGAUAGCUAUGAAUUGCUGAAGCUAUGGCACAAAAGACCUUGCAAGAAUUCUCUGCUCCAAGUCUUGAGAACAUUCCAACUGGUCCAAGAAUUGCAGUAGAAGAAGGAGUACCCGAGUUUGAGCUCAAGUCAAGCCUCAUCAAUUUGGUACAAGCUACACAAUUCAGUGGAAAGGCACAUAAAGAUGCUAGUGCACACUUGCAGAAUUUCUUAGAGAUUGGAAGCACAAUCCACAUCAACGGAGUUGACAAAGACGUCAUACUGCUUCGCCUUUUUCCAUUCUCACUAGAAGGAAAAGCGAGGAAGUGGUUCUACACUCAUCAAGAUAACAUCAACAACUGGACGAACUUGUCAGAUGCCUUUCUAUCAAAGUUUUUCCCUAUAGGCAAAACAACUGCCUUAAGAGGAAAUAUUGUCAGUUUCCAAUAGCAGAAGACAGAAGCCAUUUCAGAAGCAUGUGAGCGUUUUCAAAGAUACAUAUCAGAUUGUCCUCACCAUGGAAUGGCCACAUGGUUACUUAUGCAGACCUUCUACAAUGGAUUAACCCAGAAGGUUCGAGAGUGCCUAGAUGCAUCUGCUAAAGGAUCAUUCUUGGAGCUUACAACUGGAAAAGCAGAGAUAGUUUUGGAUAAGAUAGCAGAAAAUCAAAGCUGGUUCCAAGAUAAAGCUCAACAAUGUCAUCAAACUGAAGAAAUACCAGAAGAAGUAAAUGCAUUAUCAACUAAGAUGGAAACUUUGCUCCAUUGGAUUGACCAGAGGGCCAAGUUCAAAGAAGAUCAAAGUGCCAUGGAGACAGCAUACAAAUAUCAACCAACUUCGAGUCAACCCAAUAGCAAAGGUAUGAAUUUAGGUAAUACUUUCAAGCAACUUUCAUUAAAAGAGAUAAUUGCUCAACAAACCAAAAUUAAUGAUGAAGUUAAACAAAGGCUAGAUACAAAUGAAUCAUCUCUAAAAGAUAUACACAAUAAAAUGGAUUUUCUACUAACUGCCUUUGAUGAGCAAAACACUCUUAAUAAAAGGGUAGAGCUUAAAUUAAUAAAGAUAGCUGCUGCACUGCCUGUUGCUACUAACAUUGAGCAGGUAAAGAACAUAACUACUAGAGGAGGCAAAGCAACCAGAGAUCCCCCAUACCCAAAAGAGAAACAAAGAACGUCAGCACCAGUGCAACCAGCAGUGAUAGAAGAAGAAAGCCCAGUUGAAGCAGAAGAUCUGCUGCAACCACCAAGAAAUGGAGAAAUGAGGAAAGAUUUUUACGACACCAACUAUUUGCCAUUUCCUAGAAGAAAUAGAGGACUGCAGGCGGAUGAGCAGUUUGGUAAGUUUGUAGAGGUCAUUCAGAAAUUAUAUGUCAACGUACCUCUGCUCGAUGCCAUACAGGUACCUACAUAUGCAAAGUACAUCAGAGAUAUUCUUAACAAGAAGAGACCACUGCCCACCACUGAGGUUAUCAAGCUGACAGAAGAAUGUAGUGCGGCCAUCCUCAAUAAACCACCAAAGAAGAAGGAAGAUUCCAGAUGUGCCACUAUUGAUUGCUCGAUUGGAAAACAACACUUCAACAAUGCACUUUGUGAUCUCAGAGCAAGUGUCAGUGUGAUGCCAGCAUCAGUCUACAAAAAGCUUGAGCAUGCGACCCUAGAACCAACAUCAAUCUGCCUGCAACUAGCGGAUCAAUCGGUUCGACACCCGUUGGGCAUCGCCGAGAACAUUCCAGUCAAGAUCAGAGAUUUCCUGGUGCCAGUAGACUUCGUAGUACUGGACAUGAGUCCUGACUCAAAAGUGUCCAUCAUCCUUGAAAGGCCAUUUUUGAGCACUGUCAAUGCCCACAUUGAUGUCGGGAAGGGAGAAAUCAAGUUCAACAUAAACGGACAAGAAGAACACUUCACAUUCAAACCCAGACCAGAGAGAGACUCUACAGUGAAGGAAGUUCAUGAAGAAGCACUGGAGACACCAUCUCCGGAGGAAGGUAACUCAGAAGAUUAAAAGAUUUGGAGGUCCAGCUUGGGGGACCUAAAAAUCCCAAACCCUCACCGGGAGGUAAAUCGGUAUUUAUCCACAUUAUUAAUUUUCUCAUGUUUAAAUUCUUGCAUAAUUAAUUCUUGCAUUAGCAUAUAUAUUCAUAGAAUAAUUAUAAUAAUCAAAAAGCCCCCAUAUAAAUAAUAUUCAUGGAGUGUAACAACCCAUAUUUAUUAAUUAUUGUGGAGGCACAAAAAUAUUUUCCAUUAUCAUUAAGUUUCAAUUCUCAUAGAUUUUUUCUGCAUUAUAUUUAAUUAUAUUAAUCUUCUAGAAGCAUGACCCACACUCCUUGGGUCCCACAUGUCAUACACUUCACCUCACAUACAUCCCAUCACAUAAUUUCAUCCACCAAUAUGUUUCCACUUACCUGACAUCUUUCCACCGUCCAACCACCACCAACUCAAUAUUAUUCUGCGUGAGAUCAAAGCAAGGAAGCUAGUGGAGGAGGCACACCCAGGAUGGGCAUCACAAGUGGGCGCCCGCCCACCUACCAAGGGCGCCUGCCCUGCCCCUCUUCCUCCUAUAAAUAGCCACAUUCUACCUCCAUCUUCUUCACACAAACACUCCACAAAACCACACAAGUUUCCGUUUCCCGAGAAGGAGCUCUUGUAGUGAAGAGAAGAGAGUAGAGAGAAAGAGAAGAGUGGAAGAGAAGGUUGGGAGUACUUUUGAGAGAGUGAUUAUCACCUAGCAAGUAGUGAUCCCGUUGUCUAGCGGAAGUUGUUUAGGGAGGCUCUACCAAAAUAGAAAUUUGUUUUGAACAAAUAACCCCUGGACUACUGACAUUCCGGACAGCUGACCACUAACAUUUUCUCUCAUAUUUUCCACUAGUUGUGUUUUUGCCAACUUUUGUUUGCAGGAUGUUCAAGAAGGUGAAGAAUGCAGGGAAGGCUCUCAAGAACAUUGGUACAAGGAGUUCAGCCCGACACUCCUCACAGCCAUUAGAGAUGAGCGUUGACCCAACACCCACAUAAGCUCCGUCAUCUUCAUCAGGUCAGCAAGUCAAGGUCCUUCUCAAGAUAGAAGACCUUGGACUAAAGACCCGAAGAGAGAAAGAAGUCUAUCAACAAUUGAAAAACAAAGAUUUUAUUCACACCCCUACUCUUGAUCCAAUCUUACUACAAGAAACAGGUAUGGACACUGAAUUCGACUUAAUUUUCCAGAUGAUAGGUUGGAUAAAUUUUUGGAAUAUAACUGAGCUGGGUUCUCGUCUUCUCACCCUCGAAUUUCUUUGCACCUUACAAUAUUAUGAGGGGGAAAUUGUUUUUCGGAUGUUCAAACAGGAGAUUAUGUUGUCUUGGAGAAAGCUGAGCGACCAUCUUGGUUUCUCUUCAAGAUGCAUCCUGAACAUUGACUCCGAUUUACCUAAUUUUGAGAGACACCAGUUUUAGAGAGAAAUAUCUAGAGAUAAUUUUUAUAGUCAAGCCCGAACCAGCGAUAUGGAACACCCCACCCUUAGGAUGUUCCACAAAUGGCUUGGGUACAAUCUUUUCUAUCGUGAUGAUAUUAGGAAAGUAAGAGUAGGAGAUUUACAACUUUUAUAUGCUGCUAUUAGUAAAGUACCCACUUCACCUGUUACACUAUUUGGCUUAGUGUACCUAGUCUUCAGGGACCAGUAGGAUGUACUUCACUUAUCACUCGUCUAGCCUUUAAUCUUCACUUACUAGAAAACUCGUCAUUGGACUUCAUAUAUGAGUUAAGAAUUUAUCAUGGCUAUGACAUAUUUAGACAAGCUCGGAUGUUUAACAAAGAGGGGAAUGUAAUGUAUAUGCUCUAUGUUGAUAAAGGCAAGAUUCGGUUACCUAACCCGAACCUUGGCCUCUACGUUCUGCAAAACUUUUUGAUUGAGAUGGCAGCAACACUAGUGAACCAGAAAACUCCACAGCGAGUGGCAUCUGAAAGGAUGACCACUCACCGAGAACGCACCUGGUAUGGAGCUAACCCUGGACCAGAAGAAGCAGCGCACCUGCAUUAUUGCGAUUACAACCCCCGAGUCCUUCGAGACCCAUGGGUUCGUCAUGCGCAACCACAAGAGCCAACAGAGGAGACAUGGCCGGAGAGCCAAGAUCACCAGUGGACAAACCCGCCUUUUCAUACGGGCAGGUACUCCACUGAUCCAUAUGGAGCUUCAGGAUCUAGACCUCCGCCCCAAUUUGAUGCAGGACGAUACUCCGAUGCCUCCUACGCUUUCACGAAUGACUACUACCAAGAGGCCGGUGCUUUCUUCACUCGUACCGACAACACCCUCCUCGACAUCCAAAACACGCAAACAGAACAUGGAAGACUCCUGGAAGAACAACAAAAAUGGAACCAGGACCAUGCCGCUGCAGUACAAGAGCUGAGACAAGAUACAACAACAAUGAACGACAACAUCACAACCAUUAUGCGGUUCUGGAACAUCGGGUAAGACCGACGUCAACAUCCAGCUUGGGGGAGUUCCUCCCCAAUCUAUCAAGUAAGUUUUUAUUUGCUCUUCUUAUUUAUUCUAUUUUGUCUUAGUGUUUUAUUUAUCUUAUAAAGAAAAAAAAUAGAAAACCCAAUAAAUAUUUUCUUGCUUUAAUUUACUGCACUUUAUAAACAUGAAAGCAAAAUAAAAAGAGUGUGUAGAUAAGUGUGCUUUAUUUUCCUGCGAAGUUUAAUCUCUAGAAAAAAUAAAAAGACCAAAAAGAUGCAUGAUGGAAAUGAUGAACAGUUGCUCUGUUUGCUUACUUUCAAGUACCUAGCUUUUAUAUUAGAGUUCUUCCAGGAAUUACUAAAACAAAAAUUACUAUCUUUGGGAAGCAUAAAACUAAAGUCUAGGUAAGAGAAAGGCAUAAUACAAAGUUUGAGCUGCUGUUUAUCUUGUUUCUACUACACUGAGUUCUAGAGAUUUAUUUUGGAAACUUGCAAAUCACAUGAUGAGUUCCUAGCAUAAGAAAACUACCUACCACAGCCAUACUUGCUAUAACAUCUUUUACUAUAUUUACAUUGAGUUUGAUCGAGCUGUGUAGACCCUUAGGAGCUUUUCAUGUGGUUAAAUUAAGAUAUUCACUUGCACACAUCUACUACACUAUCCAUCACUAUUCAUUAAAAUUGCUAAAAAUAUUAUCACUCACUGUCCCGAAUAUUGUUAUUCUCUCUCUCUAAAAAGAUUCAAUGCAGAAGAGGCAUGGGUUAUGCAAAAAUAUGCGAGGAAAUAAAAAGGGGCAAGUGCCCGGAACCUCGAUAAAAGAAAAAGAGUAAGACGAGAGGUAAAAAUGGACAAGUGUCCGAAGUAGAAUUAGGGGUACAAAGAUGCCCACUUGAGCGGAAAAAAAUGGACAAGUGUCCGACAGUAGAAUUAGGGGUAUCUACUACCCACCUGAAAAAAAAAGAGAGAAGAAAAAGAUAGCCCAUGUUCUCCCAAAGCAAAGAUCAAAGAAGAGAAGAGAUAGCAAUAUGAGGAGUAAUGAAAAGUAAGUUUUAUUAUCACUUAUAUAUCUUCACCAUCACUAUCAUUGAUUCCAUCACACAUGCACAUCUUGAUUUAAUUAUAUGCUGAGUUCCUUUGGAUCCAUAGCUCGAUUAGACAACAUAUGUAUGAGCUGUUCUUCACCCCUAUGAGCUCCACUUAAAUAUUUCAUUAGCUAUAGGUAAGUGAUAUUAUGGUAAGGAUCCACAAAUACCACAUAUAGAGAGACUUGAGAGAAUCAUUGCUAGGAACUCUGAGUUUUAUUUUGAAAACUUAUGAAAAACUCUGGAACAAAGGUGAAGUAUAGACAGGAGGGAUAGUGCUUGACUUAACUAUUUUGUCUUUCGAUUACUUAAGAUUUAAGUGCAGACACUAAGCUCCAUAACACUUCACUCUAAUCUGGAAGAAUUUUUAUGUAAAAGCAUGUGUGCCUGUCAGGAAAGAAAACAUCGAAGCAACUUCUGAUUUGUCUAAGUUUAGCUAUUUGCUCAGGGACGAGCAAAGGGUAAGCUUGGGGGAGUUUGUUGACGGUCCUUAAGUACUAAAAUUAAUAAUCAAAUAAACAUGGAAAAGGAUCAAUAUGAAACAAACAUCUAGAACUAGGGUUUUAUCUGACAGAAUUCCACGAGCUUUGGUGUUUAUCUAUUUCUGCAGGGGGUUAUCAGAGAAUAUGGAGAGAAGGCCCACAUGUCAUGUUUACAACGAGAUAAUUAUGUGCCGCGCAAUUUUCCUCAAUCUAGAAGAGUCCAGAAGCCACAGGAACGAACGAGAGCACGAUCAGGCUCGGGGGCAGGGCGGCCGCCAACCCCCCUUGGGCGCCCGCCCAGGGUUGGAACCCAAUCGGGACUCUGCUUCGGGACUACGCUCCACCGACCUAAAGGAUCAAUCUAAACCAUACAAUCAAUGUCGGUUUGAUCUGACGGCCCAAAUUCACUUGAAGGGACUAUAAAACCAAGGCCUACCCCCCUAGAGAGGAGAAGAGAAGAAAUCAUUAUUCAGAGGUAGCCAUCAAAGUUAGGGUUUAGAGCUUCUCUCCCACAGAGAAUUAGAAUUAGCUACUCCCUAAUCCUUCAAGUUUAGAGGUUUGAUUAGAUAGCAAUUAGAGAAGUAGAGCACUACGCUGUGGAUUCGGAUCUUCGGUAAUAAAGAUUGGUAUUAUUCAUAUCUUUCUCUAAUUCUUUGUUCUAAUUGUAUUAUGUCUCUAAUUAUUAUGUUCUUAGUUUGCUCUAGUUCUAUAUUUGAUAUAGUUCUAAUUGAUAAUGAGUUUAUGUAUAAGUUUGCAAAGCGCUUAGCUCUUGACGCGAGGGAGUUAGGUGAUAGAUCACAUGUGAGCGUGGUGCUUAGAUGUUAUUUAUCAGCAAAUGUAUCCUAUUGGCCGGGUCGUGUGGUAGUUCGCGAUAGUGAUUUACUUUAUCAAUGUUCCUUAUACAUGAAUGAAGAGUCUUUUAUGCUAUAUAUGAUCUUGUAGAUAACUAGAGUAGAUUAUGACUUAGUAGUUAGUAGAUAACUUAGAAUCCAUUCUCUAGCUAAUCCGACAUCACCUACAUAUAUGAGGAGUAGUCUAUUUUCUAAUCGCUGUGUUAUCUACCCACGAACUUAUAAUUCAUUAUCAUUAUCUUUAUGGUUUACCCCCUGCUAAAGUAAGUUUCUCAUUAGUAAUCAUGUUCUUGCAAGUUUAUCUCUAGUCUAUGCCUUGAUAGAUUUUGCCCCUUACUUUAAUUUCAUCCCUUGAGCAAAAUUAUAAAUAACGAUACCUGGAAUACUUAUCCUGGUGAAAUGCUAUAAUGAGGUGUUUUAUCUGUGCGCUUGCGGAUAGAAUAGAUUAUUUUCUAGAGAGCCUUUACAUUUAUAAAUACCUUUUGUACACUCUGGCACCAUGCUGGGGAUGACAACCUAGUAUCUAAGUGGUGUUAGCUAGUGUCAACACACAGGAAAUUUGAGCUUAAACAAGUGAAAGACGUGACAUGUGGAAACUUUUGAAAAUUGCGAAAAAUAUGAAAAAAACUUUUGGAGGUGAAAACUCAAACUUUAGAGGUGAAUUUGGGGACUCUAAAAUUGUCAAACCCGCACACGGCAGGGAUAGACAGAUAUAAAAAAUUGGUUUGAUAGAUUUUGAUAUAUGGAACGUCAAAAUCGGAGUUCGUAUGCGAAAAUUGUGGUUGUUUUACGAACGGACACCGAAUUAGAGGACAAAACAGUCCGGAAGUGGGAAAAAUUUGCGCAGUGGCUAUAAAUUGAUGGAAACGGUGGGAAGAAACACACAAACUGGACUCUAACAAGACCUAACCAGUAACAAGAUCUCGACCAGGACACAAACUCAAUACUACGGACUCUGAAACUGAAAUAUGCAAAGGUUAUGGCGCGGAUGGGUUGUAGGAUAUGAAAACAAUUUGGCACUAGACUUAUGGGACGAACACAAGGACACUCGAAACUAAGGAUAGAUGUGAACCUAACGGUAUGUCUGAAGCUCUGAUUAACACUUGAGGAGAACAAGUGUGGCCCGAUCUUCCGAAAGGUUCUAGUAACUAUCAAUUUGGUGGAAACGAGACCCAAAUCAAUCCACCUUGCGAACAACGUGGUUCGUAUCCCUGCAAUUCUUUUUAUUUUUUUUGAUAUGUUUCUUUUACUUAGGAGCACUCAAGAAGUAACCACAGGAAAUUUGAGCUUAAACAAGUGAAAGACGUGGCCUGUGGAAUUUUUUGAAGAUUGCGAAAAAUAUAAAAAAAACUUUAGGAGGUGAAAACUCAAACUUUAGGGGCGAAUUUGGGGAUUCUAAAAUUAUCGAACCCGCCUCCAGCGGAGAUAGACAGAUCCAAAAAUUUGUUCUCAUCGAUUUUGAUAUAUGGAACAUCAAAAUCGGAGUUCGUAUGCGAAAGUUAUGGCUGUUUUACGAACGGACUCCGAAUUAGAGGAAAAAACGGUCCGGAAGUGGAAAAAAUUUGCGGUGGUGGCUAGAAAUUGAUGGAAACGGUCGGAAAAACACACAAACUGUACUCUAAUAAGACCAAAUCAGUAACAAGACCUCGACCAGAACAUAAACUCAACACUACGGAGAACAAGUGUGAACCUAACGAUACGUCUGAAGCUCUGAUUAACACUUGAGGAGAACAAGGCCCGAUCUUCCGAAAAGUUCUGGUAACUAUCAAUUUGGUGGAAACGAGACACAAAUCAAACCAGUUUGCAAACAACACGAUUCGAAACCCUGCAAUUCUUUUUUUUUGAUAUUUUUCUAUUACUUAGGAGCACUCAAGAAGUAACCACAGGAAAUUUGAGCUUAAACAAGUGAAGGACGUGGCCUGUGGAAUUUUUUGAAGAUUGCGAAAAAUAUGAAAAUAAAGUUUAGGAGGUGAAAACUCAAAUUUUCAGAGGUGGGUUGGGAAUUCUAAAUUUGUCGCACCCGCCUAUGGCGGGGAUAGACAGAUCCAAAAAUUUUUCUGAUUGAUUUUGAUAUAUGGAACGUCAAAAUUGGAGUUCGUAGGCGAAAGUUAUCGCUGUUUUACGAACGGACUCUGAAUGAGAGGACAAAACGGUCCGGAAGUGGGAAAAAUUUGCGGUGGUGGCUAGAAAUUGAUGGAAGCGGUGGGAAAAAACACACAAACUUGACUCAAACAAGACCUAAUCAGUAACAAGACCUCGACCAGGACACAAACUCAACACUACGGACUCUGAAAAUGAAAUAUGCAAAGGCUAUGGCGCGGAUGGGUUGUAGGACAUGAAAAGAAUAUGGCACCAGACUUAUGGGACGAACACAAGGACACUCGAAACUAAGGGUAGAUGUGAACCUAACGGUAUGCCUGAAGCUUUGAUUACCACUUGAGGAGAAUAAGUGUGUCCCGAUCUUCCGAAAGGUUCUGGUAACUAUCGAUUUGGUGGAAACGAGACACAAAUCAAUCCAGCUUGCGAACAGCACGGUUCGAAACCCUACAAUUCUUUUUAUUUUUUUUGAUAUUUUUCUUUUACUUAGGAGCACUCAAGAAGUAACCAUAGGAAAUUUGAGCUUAAACAAUUGAAAGACGUGGCCUGUGGAAUUUUUUGAAGAUUGCGAAAAAUAUAAAAAAAAACUUUAAGAGGUGAAAACUCAAACUUUAGGAGUGAAUUUGGGGAUUCUAAAAUUAUCGAACCCGCCUCUAGCGGAGAUAGACAGAUCCAAAAAUUUGUUCUGAUCGAUUUUGAUAUAUGGAACGUCAAAAUCGGAGUUCAUAUGCGAAAGAUAUGGCUGUUUUACGAACGGACUCCGAAUUAGAGGACAAAACGGUCCGGAAGUGGGAAAAAUUUGCGGUGGUGGCUAGAAAUUGAUGGAAACGGUGGGAAAAAACACACAAACUGGACUCUAACAAGACCAAAUUGGUAACAAGACCUCGACCACGACACAAACUCAACACUACGGACUCUGAAACUGAAAUAUGCAAAGGUUAUGGCGCGGAUGGGUUGUAGGACAUGAAAACAAUUUGGCACUAGACUUAUGGGACGAACACAAGGACACUCGAAACUAAGGGUACAUGUGAACCUAACUAUACGUCUGAAGCUUUGAUUACCACUUGAGGAGAACAAGGCCCGAUCUUCCGAAAGGUUCUGGUAACUAUCAAUUUGGUGGAAACGAGACACAAAUCAUUCCAGUUUGCGAACAACACGAUUCGAAACCCUGCAAUUCUUUUUAUAUUUUUUGAUAUUUUUCUUUUACUUAGGAGCACUCAAGAAGUAACCACAGGAAAUUUGAGCUUAAACAAGUGAAGGACGUGACCUGUGGAAUUUUUUGAAGAUUGCGAAAAAUAUGAAAAUAAAGUUUAGGAGGUGAAAACUCAAAAUUUCAGAGGCGAGUUUGGGAAUUGUAAAUUUGUUCCACCGCCUUUGGCGGGGAUAGACAGAUCCAAAAAUUUUUCUGAUUGAUUUUGAUAUAUGGAACGUCAAAAUUGGAGUUCGUAGGCGAAAGUUAUCGCUGUUUUACGAACGGACUCUGAAUGAGAGGACAAAACGGUCCGGAAGUGGGAAAAAUUUGCGGUGGUGGCUAGAAAUUGAUGGAAGCGGUGGGAAAAAACACACAAACUUGACUCAAACAAGACCUAAUCAGUAACAAGACCUCGACCAGGACACAAACUCAACACUACGGACUCUGAAAAUGAAAUAUGCAAAGGCUAUGGCGCGGAUGGGUUGUAGGACAUGAAAAGAAUAUGGCACCAGACUUAUGGGACGAACACAAGGACACUCGAAACUAAGGGUAGAUGUGAACCUAACGGUAUGUCUGAAGCUUUGAUUACCACUUGAGGAGAAUAAGUGUGUCCCGAUCUUCCGAAAGGUUCUGGUAACUAUCGAUUUGGUGGAAACGAGACACAAAUCAAUCCAGCUUGCGAACAGCACGGUUCGAAACCCUGCAAUUCUUUUUAUUUUGUUUGAUAUUUUUCUUUUACUUAGGAGCACUCAAGAAGUAACCAUAGGAAAUUUGAGCUUAAACAAUUGAAAGACGUGGCCUGUGGAAUUUUUUGAAGAUUGCGAAAAAUAUAAAAAAAAACUUUAAGAGGUGAAAACUCAAACUUUAGGAGUGAAUUUGGGGAUUCUAAAAUUAUGGAACCCGCCUUUAGCGGAGAUAGACAUAUCCAAAAAUUUGUUCUGAUCGAUUUUGAUAUAUGGAACGUCAAAAUCGGAGUUCAUAUGCGAAAGUUAUGGCUGUUUUACGAACGGACUCCGAAUUAGAGGACAAAACGGUCCGGAAUUCGGAAAAAAUUUGCGGUGGUGGCUAGAAAUUGAUCGAAACGGUGGGAAAAAACACACAAACUGGACUCUAACAAGACCAAAUUGGUAACAAGACCUCGACCACGACACAAACUCAACACUACGGACUCUGAAACUGAAAUAUGCAAAGGUUAUGGCGCGGAUGGGUUGUAGGACAUGAAAACAAUUUGGCACUAGACUUAUGGGACGAACACAAGGACACUCAAAACUAAGGGUACAUGUGAACCUAACUAUACGUCUGAAGCUUUGAUUACCACUUGAGGAGAACAAGGCCCGAUCUUCCGAAAGGUUCUGGUAACUAUCAAUUUGGUGGAAACGAGACACAAAUCAUUCCAGUUUGCGAACAACACGAUUCGAAACCCUGCAAUUCUUUUUAUAUUUUUUGAUAUUUUUCUUUUACUUAGGAGCACUCAAGAAGUAACCACAGGAAAUUUGAGCUUAAACAAGUGAAGGACGUGACCUGUGGAAUUUUUUGAAGAUUGCGAAAAAUAUGAAAAUAAAGUUUAGGAGGUGAAAACUCAAAAUUUCAGAGGCGAGUUUGGGAAUUGUAAAUUUGUUCCACCGCCUAUGGCGGGGAUAGACAGAUCCAAAAAUUUUUCUGAUUGAUUUUGAUAUAUGGAACGUCAAAAUUGGAGUUCGUAGGCGAAAGUUAUCGCUGUUUUACGAACGGACUCUGAAUGAGAGGACAAAACGGUCCGGAAGUGGGAAAAAUUUGCGGUGGUGGCUAGAAAUUGAUGGAAGCGGUGGGAAAAAACACACAAACUUGACUCAAACAAGACCUAAUCAGUAACAAGAUCUCGACCAGGACACAAACUCAACACUACGGACUCUGAAAAUGAAAUAUGCAAAGGCUAUGGCGCGGAUGGGUUGUAGGACAUGAAAAGAAUAUGGCACCAGACUUAUGGGACGAACACAAGGACACUCGAAACUAAGGGUAGAUGUGAACCUAACGGUAUGCCUGAAGCUUUGAUUACCACUUGAGGAGAAUAAGUGUGUCCCGAUCUUCCGAAAGGUUCUGGUAACUAUCGAUUUGGUGGAAACGAGACACAAAUCAAUCCAGCUUGCGAACAGCACGGUUCGAAACCCUGCAAUUCUUUUUAUUUUGUUUGAUAUUUUUCUUUUACUUAGGAGCACUCAAGAAGUAACCAUAGGAAAUUUGAGCUUAAACAAUUGAAAGACGUGGCCUGUGGAAUUUUUUGAAGAUUGCGAAAAAUAUAAAAAAAACUUUAAGAGGUGAAAACUCAAACUUUAGGAGUGAAUUUGGGGAUUCUAAAAUUAUCGAACCCGCCUUUAGCGGAGAUAGACAUAUCCAAAAAUUUGUUCUGAUCGAUUUUGAUAUAUGGAACGUCAAAAUCGGAGUUCAUAUGCGAAAGUUAUGGCUGUUUUACGAACGGACUCCGAAUUAGAGGACAAAACGGUCCGGAAGUCGGAAAAAUUUGCGGUGCUGGCUAGAAAUUGAUGGAAACGGUGGGAAAAAACACACAAACUGGACUCUAACAAGACCAAAUUGGUAACAAGACCUCGACCACGACACAAACUCAACACUACGGACUCUGAAACAGAAAUAUGCAAAGGUUAUGGCGCGGAUGGGUUGUAGGACAUGAAAACAAUUUGGCACUAGACUUAUGGGACGAACACAAGGACACUCGAAACUAAGGGUACAUGUGAACCUAACUAUACGUCUGAAGCUUUGAUUACCACUUGAGGAGAACAAGGCCCGAUCUUCCGAAAGGUUCUGGUAACUAUCAAUUUGGUGGAAACGAGACACAAAUCAUUCCAGUUUGCGAACAACAUGAUUCGAAACCCUGCAAUUCUUUUUAUAUUUUUUGAUAUUUUUCUUUUACUUAGGAGCACUCAAGAAGUAACCACAGGAAAUUUGAGCUUAAACAAGUGAAGGACGUGACCUGUGGAAUUUUUUGAAGAUUGCGAAAAAUAUGAAAAUAAAGUUUAGGAGGUGAAAACUUAAAAUUUCAGAGGCGAGUUUGGGAAUUGUAAAUUUGUUGCACCGCCUAUGGCGGGGAUAGACAGAUCUAAAAAAAUUUUCUGAUCGAUUUUGAAAUAUGGAACGUCAAAAUCAGAGUUCGUAGGCGAAAGUUAUGGCUGUUUUACGAACGGACUCCGAAUUAGAGGAUAAAACGGUCCGGAAGUGGAAAAAAUUUGCGGUGGUGGCUAGAAAUUAAUGGAAACGGUGGGAAAAACACACAAACUAGACUCUAACAAGACCUAACCAGUAACAAGAUCUCGACCAGGACACAAACUCAACACUACGGACUCUGAAAAUGAAAUAUGCAAAGGCUAUGGCGCGGAUGGGUUGUAGGACAUGAAAAGAAUAUGGCACCAGACUUAUGGGACGAACACAAGGACACUCGAAACUAAAGGUAGAUGUGAACCUAACGGUAUGUCUGAAGCUUUGAUUACCACUUGAGGAGAAUAAGUGUGUCCCGAUCUUCCGAAAGGUUCUGGUAACUAUCGAUUUGGUGGAAACGAGACACAAAUCAAUCCAGCUUGCGAACAGCACGGUUUGAAACCCUGCAAUUCUUUUUAUUUUUUUUUGAUAUUUUUUUUACUUAGGAGCACUCAAGAAGUAACCAUAGGAAAUUUGAGCUUAAACAAUUGAAAGACGUGGCCUGUGGAAUUUUUUGAAGAUUGCGAAAAAUAUAAAAAAAACUUUAAGAGGUGAAAACUCAAACUUUAGGAGUGAAUUUGGGAUUCUAAAAUUAUCGAACCCACCUCUAGCGGAGAUAGACAGAUCCAUAAAUUUGUUCUGAUCGAUUUGGAUAUAUGGAACGUCAAAAUCGGAGUUCAUAUGCGAAAGAUAUGGCUGUUUUACGAACGGACUCCGAAUUAGAGGACAAAACGGUCCGGAAGUGGGAAAAAUUUGCGGUGGUGGCUAGAAAUUGAUGGAAACGGUGGAAAAAAACACACAAACUGGACUCUAACAAGACCAAAUCGGUAACAAGACCUCGACCACGACACAAACUCAACACUACGGACUCUGAAACUGAAAUAUGCAAAGGUUAUGGCGCGGAUGGGUUGUAGGACAUGAAAACAAUUUGGCACUAGACUUAUGGGACGAACACAAGGACACUCGAAACUAAGGGUACAUGUGAACCUAACUAUACGUCUGAAGCUUUGAUUACCACUUGAGGAGAACAAGGCCCGAUCUUCCGAAAGGUUCUGGUAACUAUCAAUUUGGUGGAAACGAGACACAAAUCAUUCCAGUUUGCGAACAACACGAUUCGAAAUCCUGCAAUUCUUUUUAUAUUUUUUGAUAUUUUUCUUUUACUUAGGAGCACUCAAGAAGUAACCACAGGAAAUUUGAGCUUAAACAAGUGAAGGACGUGACCUGUGGAAUUUUUUGAAGAUUGCGAAAAAUAUGAAAAUAAAGUUUAGGAGGUGAAAACUCAAAAUUUCAGAGGCGAGUUUGGGAAUUGUAAAUUUGUUGCACCGCCUAUGGCGGGGAUAGACAGAUCCAAAAAAUUUUUCUGAUCGAUUUUGAAAUAUGGAACGUCAAAAUCAGAGUUCGUAGGCGAAAGUUAUGGCUGUUUUACGAACGGACUCCGAAUUAGAGGAUAAAACGGUCCGGAAGUGGGAAAAAUUUGCGGUGGUGGCUAGAAAUUAAUGGAAAUGGUGGGAAAAACACACAAACUAGACUCUAACAAGACCUAACCAGUAACAAGAUCUCGACCAGGACACAAACUCAACACUACGGACUCUGAAAAUGAAAUAUGCAAAGGCUAUGGCGCGGAUGGGUUGUAGGACAUGAAAAGAAUAUGGCACCAGACUUAUGGGACGAACACAAGGACACUCAAAACUAAAGGUAGAUGUGAACCUAACGGUAUGUCUGAAGCUUUGAUUACCACUUGAGGAGAAUAAGUGUGUCCCGAUCUUCCGAAAGGUUCUGGUAACUAUCGAUUUGGUGGAAACGAGACACAAAUCAAUCCAGCUUGCGAACAGCACGGUUCGAAACCCUGCAAUUCUUUUUAUUUUUUUUUUGAUAUUUUUCUUUUACUUAGAAGCACUCAAGAAGUAACCAUAGGAAAUUUGAGCUUAAACAAUUGAAAGACGUGGCCUGUGGAAUUUUUUGAAGAUUGCGAAAAAUAUAAAAAAAACUUUAAGAGGUGAAAACUCAAACUUUAGGAGUGAAUUUGGGAUUCUAAAAUUAUCGAACCCACCUCUAGCGGAGAUAGACAGAUCCAUAAAUUUGUUCUGAUCGAUUUGGAUAUAUGGAAUGUCAAAAUCGGAGUUCAUAUGCGAAAGUUAUGGCUGUUUUACGAACGGACUCCGAAUUAGAGGACAAAACGGUCCGGAAGUGGGAAAAAUUUGCGGUGGUGGCUAGAAAUUGAUGGAAACGGUGGAAAAAAACACACAAACUGGACUCUAACAAGACCAAAUCGGUAACAAGACCUCGACCACGACACAAACUCAACACUACGGACUGUGAAACUGAAAUAUGCAAAGGUUAUGGCGCGGAUGGGUUGUAGGACAUGAAAACAAUUUGGCACUAGACUUAUGGGACGAACACAAGGACACUCGAAACUAAGGGUACAUGUGAACCUAACUAUACGUCUGAAGCUUUGAUUACCACUUGAGGAGAACAAGGCCCGAUCUUCCGAAAGGUUCUGGUAACUAUCAAUUUGGUGGAAACGAGACACAAAUCAUUCCAGUUUGCGAACAACAUGAUUCGAAACCCUGCAAUUCUUUUUAUAUUUUUUGAUAUUUUUCUUUUACUUAGGAGCACUCAAGAAGUAACCACAGGAAAUUUGAGCUUAAACAAGUGAAGGACGUGACCUGUGGAAUUUUUUGAAGAUUGCGAAAAAUAUGAAAAUAAAGUUUAGGAGGUGAAAACUCAAAAUUUCAGAGGCGAGUUUGGGAAUUGUAAAUUUGUUGCACCGCCUAUGGCGGGGAUAGACAGAUCCAAAAAAUUUUUCUGAUCGAUUUUGAAAUAUGGAACGUCAAAAUCAGAGUUCGUAGGCGAAAGUUAUGGCUGUUUUACGAACGGACUCCGAAUUAGAGGAUAAAACGGUCCGGAAGUGGGAAAAAUUUGCGGUGGUGGCUAGAAAUUAAUGGAAAUGGUGGGAAAAACACACAAACUAGACUCUAACAAGACCUAACCAGUAACAAGAUCUCGACCAGGACACAAACUCAACACUACGGACUCUGAAAAUGAAAUAUGCAAAGGCUAUGGCGCGGAUGGGUUGUAGGACAUGAAAAGAAUAUGGCACCAGACUUAUGGGACGAACACAAGGACACUCGAAACUAAAGGUAGAUGUGAACCUAACGGUAUGUCUGAAGCUUUGAUUAUCACUUGAGGAGAAUAAGUGUGUCCCGAUCUUCCGAAAGGUUCUGGUAACUAUCGAUUUGGUGGAAACGAGACACAAAUCAAUCCAGCUUGCGAACAGCACGGUUUGAAACCCUGCAAUUCUUUUUAUUUUUUUUUGAUAUUUUUUUUACUUAGGAGCACUCAAGAAGUAACCAUAGGAAAUUUGAGCUUAAACAAUUGAAAGACGUGGCCUGUGGAAUUUUUUGAAGAUUGCGAAAAAUAUAAAAAAAACUUUAAGAGGUGAAAACUCAAACUUUAGGAGUGAAUUUGGGAUUCUAAAAUUAUCGAACCCACCUCUAGCGGAGAUAGACAGAUCCAUAAAUUUGUUCUGAUCGAUUUGGAUAUAUGGAAUGUCAAAAUCGGAGUUCAUAUGCGAAAGUUAUGGCUGUUUUACGAACGGACUCCGAAUUAGAGGACAAAACGGUCCGGAAGUGGGAAAAAUUUGCGGUGGUGGCUAGAAAUUGAUGGAAACGGUGGGAAAAAACACACAAACUGGACUCUAACAAGACCAAAUCGGUAACAAGACCUCGACCACGACACAAACUCAACACUACGGACUCUGAAACUGAAAUAUGCAAAGGUUAUGGCGCGGAUGGGUUGUAGGACAUGAAAACAAUUUGGCACUAGACUUAUGGGACGAACACAAGGACACUCGAAACUAAGGGUACAUGUGAACCUAACUAUACGUCUGAAGCUUUGAUUACCACUUGAGGAGAACAAGGCCCGAUCUUCCGAAAGGUUCUGGUAACUAUCAAUUUGGUGGAAACGAGACACAAAUCAUUCCAGUUUGCGAACAACACGAUUCGAAACCCUGCAAUUCUUUUUAUAUUUUUUGAUAUUUUUCUUUUACUUAGGAGCACUCAAGAAGUAACCACAGGAAAUUUGAGCUUAAACAAGUGAAGGACGUGACCUGUGGAAUUUUUUGAAGAUUGCGAAAAAUAUGAAAAUAAAGUUUAGAGGUGAAAACUUAAAAUUUCAGAGGCGAGUUUGGGAAUUGUAAAUUUGUUGCACCGCCUAUGGCGGGGAUAGACAGAUCUAAAAAAUUUUUCUGAUCGAUUUUGAAAUAUGGAACGUCAAAAUCAGAGUUCGUAGGCGAAAGUUAUGGCUGUUUUACGAACGGACUCCGAAUUAGAGGAUAAAACGGUCCGGAAGUGGAAAAAAUUUGCGGUGGUGGCUAGAAAUUAAUGGAAACGGUGGGAAAAACACACAAACUAGACUCUAACAAGACCUAACCAGUAACAAGAUCUCGACCAGGACACAAACUCAACACUACGGACUCUGAAAAUGAAAUAUGCAAAGGCUAUGGCGCGGAUGGGUUGUAGGACAUGAAAAGAAUAUGGCACCAGACUUAUGGGACGAACACAAGGACACUCGAAACUAAAGGUAGAUGUGAACCUAACGGUAUGUCUGAAGCUUUGAUUACCACUUGAGGAGAAUAAGUGUGUCCCGAUCUUUCGAAAGGUUCUAGUAACUAUCGAUUUGGUGGAAACGAGACACAAAUCAAUCCAGCUUGCGAACAGCACGGUUCGAAACCCUGCAAUUCUUUUUAUUUUUUUUUUGAUAUUUUUCUUUUACUUAGGAGCACUCAAGAAGUAACCAUAGGAAAUUUGAGCUUAAACAAUUGAAAGACGUGGCCUGUGGAAUUUUUUGAAGAUUGCGAAAAAUAUAAAAAAAACUUUAAGAGGUGAAAACUCAAACUUUAGGAUUGAAUUUGGGGAUUCUAAAAUUAUCGAACCCACCUCUAGCGGAGAUAGACAGAUCCAAAAAUUUGUUCUGAUCGAUUUGGAUAUAUGGAAUGUCAAAAUCGGAGUUUAUAUGCGAAAGUUAUGGCUGUUUUACGAACGGACUCCGAAUUAGAGGACAAAACGGUCCGGAAGUGGGAAAAAUUUGCGGUGGUGGCUAGAAAUUGAUGGAAACGGUGGGAAAAAACACACAAACUGGACUCUAACAAGACCAAAUCGGUAACAAGACCUCGACCACGACACAAACUCAACACUACGGACUCUGAAACUGAAAUAUGCAAAGGUUAUGGCGCGGAUGGGUUGUAGGACAUGAAAACAAUUUGGCACUAAACUUAUGGGACGAACACAAGGACACUCGAAACUAAGGGUAUAUGUGAACCUAACUAUACGUCUGAAGAUUUGAUUACCACUUGAGGAGAACAAGGCCCGAUCUUCCGAAAGGUUCUGGUAACUAUCAAUUUGGUGGAAACGAAACACAAAUCAUUCCAGUUUGCGAACAACACGAUUCGAAACCCUGCAAUUCUUUUUAUAUUUUUUGAUAUUUUUCUUUUACUUAGGAGCACUCAAGAAGUAACCACAGGAAAUUUGAGCUUAAACAAGUGAAGGACGUGACCUGUGGAAUUUUUUGAAGAUUGCGAAAAAUAUGAAAAUAAAGUUUAGGAGGUGAAAACUCAAAUUUUCAGAGGCGAGUUUGGGAAUUGUAAAUUUGUUGCACCGCCUAUGGCGGGGAUAGACAGAUCUAAAAAAUUUUUCUGAUCGAUUUUGAAAUAUGGAACGUCAAAAUCAGAGUUCGUAGGCGAAAGUUAUGGCUGUUUUACGAACGGACUCCGAAUUAGAGGACAAAACGGUCCGGAAGUGGGAAAAAUUUGCGGUGGUGGCUAGAAAUUAAUGGAAAUGGUGGGAAAAACACACAAACUAGACUCUAACAAGACCUAACCAGUAAAAAGAUAUCGACCAGGACACAAACUCAACACUACGGAAUCUGAAAAUGAAAUAUGCAAAGGCUAUGGCGCGGAUGGGUUGUAGGACAUGAAAAGAAUAUGGCACCAGACUUAUGGGACGAACACAAGGACACUCGAAACUAAAGGUAGAUGUGAACCUAACGGUAUGUCUGAAGCUUUGAUUACCACUUGAGGAGAAUAAGUGUGUCCCGAUCUUCCUAAAGGUUCUGGUAACUAUCGAUUUGGUGGAAACGAGACACAAAUCAAUCCAACUUGCGAACAGCACGGUUCGAAACCCUGCAAUUCUUUUUAUUUUUUUUGAUAUUUUUCUUUUACUUAGGAGCACUCAAGAAGUAACCAUAGGAAAUUUGAGCUUAAACAAUUGAAAGACGUGGCCUGUGGAAUUUUUUGAAGAUUGCGAAAAAUAUAAAAAAAACUUUAAGAGGUGAAAACUCAAACUUUAGGAGUGAAUUUGGGGAUUCUAAAAUUAUCGAACCCACCUCUAGCGGAGAUAGACAGAUCCAAAAAUUUGUUCUGAUCGAUUUGGAUAUAUGGAAUGUCAAAAUCGGAGUUCAUAUGCGAAAGUUAUGGCUGUUUUACGAACAGACUCCGAAUUAGAGGACAAAACGGUCCGGAAGUGGGAAAAAUUUGCGGUGGUGGCUAGAAAUUGAUGGAAACGGUGGGAAAAAACACACAAACUGGACUCUAACAAGACCAAAUCGGUAACAAGACCUCGACCACGACACAAACUCAACACUACGGACUCUGAAACUGAAAUAUGCAAAGGUUAUGGCGCGGAUGGGUUGUAGGACAUGAAAACAAUUUGGCACUAGACUUAUGGGAUGAACACAAGGACACUCGAAACUAAGGGUACAUGUGAACCUAACUAUACGUCUGAAGCUUUGAUUACCACUUGAGGAGAACAAGGCCCGAUCUUCCGAAAGGUUACAAUUUGGUGGAAACGAAACACAAAUCAUUCCAGUUUGCGAACAACACGAUUCGAAACCCUGCAAUUCUUUUUAUAUUUUUUGAUAUUUUUCUUUUCCUUAGGAGCACUCAUGAAGUAACCACAGGAAAUUUGAGCUUAAACAAGUGAAGGACGUGAUCUGUGGAAUUUUUUAAAGAUUGCGAAAAAUAUGAAAAUAAAGUUUAGGAGGUGAAAACUCAAAAUUUUAGAGGCGAAUUUGGGGAUUCUAAAUUUGUCGAACCCGCCCAAGGCGGGGAUAGACAGACCCAAAAUUUUUUUCUAAUUGAUUUUGAUAUAUGCAAUGAUAAAAUCGGAGUUCGUAGGCGAAAGUUAUGGCUGUUUUACGAACGGACUCCGAAUUAGAGGACAAAACGGUCCGGAAGUGGGAAAAAUUUGCGGUGGUGGCUAGAAAUUGAUGGAAACGGUGGGAAAAAACACACAAACUGGACUCGAACAAGACCUAACCAGUAACAAGACCUCAACCAGGACACAAACUCAAAACUACGGAUUCUGAAACUGAAAUAUGCAAAGGCUAUGGCGCGGAUGGGUUGUAGGACAUGAAAACAAUAUUGCACUAGACUUAUGAGACGAACACAAGGACACUCGAAACUAAGGGUAGAUAUGAACCUAACGGUAUGUGUGAUGCUUUGAUUACCACUUGAGGAGAACAAGUCUGGCCCGAUCUUCCGAAAGGUUCUGGUAACUAUCGAUUUGGUGGAAACGACACACAAAUCAAUCCAGCUUGCGAACAACACGGUUCGAAACCCUGCAAUUCUUUUUUUUUUGAUAUUUUCUUUUACUUAGGAGCACUCAAGAAGUAACCAUAGGAAAUUUGAGCUUAAACAAGUGAAAGACGUGGCCUGUGGAAUUUUUUGAAGAUUGCGAAAAAUAUAAAAAAAACUUUAGGAGGUGAAAACUCAAAUUUUAGGGGCGAAUUUGGAGAUUAUAAAAUUAUCGAACCCGCCUCUAGCGGAGAUAGACAGAUCCAAAAAUUUGUUUUGAUCAAUUUUGAUAUAUGGAACGUCAAAAUUGGAGUUCGUAUGCGAAAGUUAUGACUGUUUUACGAACGGACUCCGAAUUAGAGGACAAAACGGUCCGGAAGUGAGAAAAAUUUGCGGUGGUGGCUAGAAAUUGAUGGAAACGGUGGGAAAAAAACAUAAACUGGACUCUAACAAGACCAAAUCAGUAACAAGACCUCGACCAGGACACAAACUCAACACUACGGACUCUGAAACUGAAAUAUGCAAAGGUUAUGACGCGGAUGGGUUGUAGGACAUGAAAACAAUUUGGCACUAGACUUAUGGGACGAACACAAGGACACUCGAAACUAAGGGUACAUGUGAACCUAACUGUACGUCUGAAGCUUUGGUUACCACUUGAGAACAAGGCCCGAUCUUCCGAAAGGUUCUGGUAACUAUCAAUUUGGUGGAAACGAGACACAAAUCAUUCCAAUUUGCGAACAACACGAUUCGAAACCCUGCAAUUCUUUUUAUAUUUUUUGAUAUUUUUCUUUUACUUAGGAGCACUCAAGAAGUAACCACAGGAAAUUUGAGCUUAAACAAGUGAAGUACGUGGGCUGUGGAAUUUUUUGAGGAUUGCGAAAAAUAUGAAAAUAAUGUUUAGGAGGUGAAAACUCAAAAAUUCAGAGGUGAGUUUGGGAAUUGUAAAUUUGUUGCACCGCCUAUGGCGGGGAUAGACAGAUCCAAAAAUUUUAUCUGAUUGAUUUUGAUAUAUGGAACGUCAAAAUCGGAGUUCAUAUGCGAAAGUUAUGGCUGUUUUACGAACGGACUCCGAAUUAGAGGACAAAACGGUCUGGAAGUGGGAAAAAUUUGCGGUGGUGGCUAGAAAUUGAUGGAAACGGUGGGAAAAAACACACAAACUGGACUCUAACAAGACCAAAUCGGUAUCAAGACCUCGACCACGACACAAACUCAACACUACGGACUCUGAAACUGAAAUAUGCAAAGGUUAUGACGCGGAUGGGUUGUAGGACAUGAAAACAAUUUGGCACUAGACUUAUGGGACGAACACAAGGACACUCGAAACUAAGGGUACAUGUGAACCUAACUAUACGUCUGAAGCUUUGAUUACCACUUGAGGAGAACAAGGCCCGAUCUUCCGAAAGGUUCUGGUAACUAUCAAUUUGGUGGAAACGAAACACAAAACAUUCCAGUUUGCGAACAACACGAUUCGAAACCCUGCAAUUCUUUUUAUAUUUUUUGAUAUUUUUCUUUUCCUUAGGAGCACUCAAGAAGUAACCACAGGAAAUUUGAGCUUAAACAAGUGAAGUACGUGACCUGUGGAAUUUUUUGAAGAUUGCGAAAAAUAUAAAAAUAAAGUUUAGGAGGUGAAAACUCAAAAUUUCAGAGGCGAAUUUGGGGAUUCUAAAUUUAUCGAACCCGCCCAGGGCGGGGAUAGACAGACCCAAAAUUUUUUUCUAAUUGAUUUUGAUAUAUGGAAUGAUAAAAUCGGAGUUCGUAGGCGAAAGUUAUGGCUGUUUUACAAACGGACUCCGAAUUAGAGGACAAAACGGUCCGGAAGUGGGAAAAAUUUGCGGUGGUGGCUAGAAAUUGAUGGAAACGGUGGGAAAAAACACACAAACUGGACUCGAACAAGACCUAACCAGUAACAAGACCUCAACCAGGACACAAACUCAAAACUACGGAUUCUGAAACUGAAAUAUGCAAAGGCUAUGGCGCGGAUGGGUUGUAGGACAUGAAAACAAUAUGACACUAGACUUAUGAGACGAACACAAGGACACUCGAAACUAAGGGUAGAUGUGAACCUAACGGUAUGUGUGAUGCUUUGAUUACCACUUGAGGAGAACAAGUCUGGCCCGAUCUUCCGAAAGGUUCUGGUAACUAUCGAUUUGGUGGAAACGACACACAAAUCAAUCCAGCUUGCGAACAACACGGUUCGAAACCCUGCAAUUCUUUUUAUUUUUUUUUUGAUAUUUUUCUUUUACUUAGGAGCACUCAAGAAGUAACCACAAGAAAUUUGAGCUUAAACAAGUGAAAGACGUGGCCUGUGGAAUUUUUUGAAGAUUGUGAAAAAUAUAAAAAAACUUUAGGAGGUGAAAACUCGAAGUUCAGGGGCGAAGUUUGGGAUUCUAAAAUUAUCGAACCCGCCUCUAGCAGAGAUAAACAGAUCCAAAAAUUUGUUCUGAUCGAUUUUGAUAUAUGGAACGUCCAAAUCGGAGUUCGUAUGCGAAAGUUAUGCCUGUUUUACGAACGGACUCCGAAUUAGAGGACAAAACGGUCCGGAAGUGGGAAUAAUUUGCGAUGGUGGCUAGAAAUUGACGGAAACGGUGGGAAAAACACACAAACUGGACUCUAACAAGACCAAAUUGGUAACAAGACCUCGACCACGAUACAAACUCAACACUACGAACUCUGAAACUGAAAUAUGCAAAGGCUAUGGCGCGGAUGGGUUGUAGGACAUGAAAACAAUUUGGCACUAGACUUAUGGGACGAACAUAAGGACACUCGAAACUAAGGGUACAUGUGAACCUAACUGUACGUCUGAAGCUUUGAUUACCACUUGAGGAGAACAAGGCCAGAUCUUCCGAAAGGUUCUGGUAACUAUCGAUUUGGUGGAAACGAGACACAAAUCAUUCCAGUUUGCGGACAACACGAUUUGAAACCCUGCAAUUCUUUUUAUAUUUUUUGAUAUUUUUCUUUUACUUAGGAGCACUCAAGAAGUAACCCCAGGAAAUUUGAGCUUAAACAAGUGAAGGACGUGGCCUAUGGAAUUUUUUGAAGAUUGCGAAAAAUAUGAAAAUAAUGUUUAGGAGGUGAAAACUCAAAAUUUCAGAGGCGAGUUUGGGAAUUGUAAAUUUGUUGCACUGCCUAUGGUGGGGAUAGACAGAUCCAAAAAUUUUUUCUGAUCGAUUUUGAUAUAUGGAACGUUAAAAUCGGAGUUCGUAGGCGAAAGUUAUGGCUGUUUUACGAACAGACUCCGAAUUAGAGGAGAAAACGGUCCGGAAGUAGGAAAAAUUUACGGUGGUGGCGAGAAAUUGAUGGAAACAGUGAGAAAAAACACACAAACCGGACUCAAACAAGACCUAACUAGUAACAAGCCCUCGACCAGGACUCAAACUCAAAACUACGGAUUCUGAAACUGAAAUAUGCCAAGGCUAUGGCGCGAAUGGGUUGUAGGACAUGAAAACAAUAUGGCACUAGACUUAUCAGACGAACACAAGGACACUCGAAACUAAGGGUAGAUGUGAACCUAACGGUAUGUCUGAUGCUUUGGUUACCACUUGAGGAGAACAAGUGUGGCCCGAUCUUCCGAAAGGUUCUAGUAACUAUCGAUUUGGUGGAAACGAGACACAAAUCAAUCCAACUUGCGAACAACACGAUUCGAAACCCUACAAUUAUUUUUAUUUUUUUUGAUAUUUUUAUUUUACUUAGGAGAACUCAUGAAGUAACCACACGAAAUUUGAGCUUAAACAAGUGAAAGACGUGGCCUGUAGAAUUUUUUGAAGAUUGCAAAAAAUAUAAAAAAACUUUAGGAGGUGAAAACUCAAAUUUCAGGGGCGAAUUUGGGGAUUCUAAAUUAUCGAACCCGCCUCUAGCGGAGAUAUAUAGAUCCAAAAAUUUGUUCCGAUCGAUUUUGAUAUAUGGAACGUCAAAAUCGGAGUUCGUAUGCGAAAGUUAUGGCUGUUUUACGAACGGACUCCGAAUUAGAGGACAAAACGGUCCGGAAGUGGGAAAAAUUUGCGGUGGUGGCUAGAAAUCUAUGGAAAUGGUGGGAAAAAACACACAAACUGGACUCUAACAAGACCAAAUCAGUAACAAGACCUCAACCAGGACACAAACUCAACACUACGGACUCUGAAACUGAAAUAUGCAAAGUUUAUGGCGCUAAUGGGUUGUAGGACAUGAAAACAAUUUGGCACUAGACUUAUGGGACGAACACAAGGACACUCGAAACUGAGGGUAGAUGUGAACCUAAUGGUACGUCUAAAGCUUUGAUUACCACUUGAGGAGAACAAGGCCCGAUCUUCUGAAAGGUUCUGGUAACUAUCGAUUUGGUGGAAACGAGACGCAAAUCAAUCCAGUUUGCGAACAACACUGCAAUUCUUUUUAUUUUUUAUGAUAUUUUUCUUUUACUUAGGAGCACUCAAGAAGUAACC